AACCAACUCCACAUUCGCUUCACAUCUCCCUAAUUUUUCCUCCUCCAUCUCUUCUAACUUUUCAUUUUGUUUCCUUUCUUCAAUGGCAAACCUCUUCAAAAAACUCCCACUUUUCUUCUUUCUUUUUACCCUCAUUCUUCUCAUCUCCGUUUCUUCUUCUUCAGCCAGAUUGCUGCGCCAACAAUCUCUUUCCCCCGCCCUUAAACUUGAUAUUCCGGCCGAUCCCGCCGCACCCACAAUGACCGAAUAUGAGUCUCUGCUUCUUGGGUUUCUUCCAAAGGGAGGAUCAAUCCCGCCGUCCGGACCCAGCAAAGGCACCAACAACUUCAACACUUAAAGAAUUCUUUUCUUGGGUUUUUUCUUUUCUAAUUUUUAAAUCUAUGUGUUUCGUUUAGGGUAAAUAUUGGUUCAAAAGUGAUGUAGACUUAAGAGGAGAGGAGAGGUCAGAGAUAUUUCAUUCAUUAUUUCAUUAUUAUGCAAUUAUUUGUACUAUUAAUUCAUUAACUGAUGUAUACUGAUUAACUUUUCUUUUGUUAAUCAUUGGAUUAUUGUGUGUCUUGACGCCAAAACUCUGCCUCCAUGACAAGCUUAAUUUCUCAUGGAAGUUUGAGAAAAUAUUGUGUAAAUUUAAUGAAAAGAUUCAUUUUAAUGUAGAAAAUGUAUAAUUUCUUUUUUAUGGAAUGAUCGUAGUUGCCGGUGGUAUUUAUAUACGUCUUAAGUUGUAUUUUGAGAUCAUUUAUUCUUCUUUUAUUCUACUUUUAGUUGUACUAUUCGAAAAAUGUACUUCGAGGAAGGUGUUAUUCAAAUCUCUUAUUGGGAGAGAGUUUGAUUGUAAUUGUUCAUAUUAGUGUAGGCUAUAUCGAUGAAUGUAAGAUAUGAAAAAAGUAUAAUCGUGGUGUCCGUGGAACUACCCUAAAACCUUUUUAUGUGAGUAGUCAGGAUAAUGUGAUGAGUUUUUGGGUUGUUCUAAGUGAUUUCACAUUCUAUUGAGGGAAUUAUCAUUCUUGAUUCUUCUACUUAAAGCAUAUUUUCAUAAGUUGUGUGGACUUUUUGGUUUGGUUGUUUUAUUUGCCAUUUUUUUCUUAAUUCUCCUGGUUGGGUUUUGUUUAUCUCUCUUUAUUGCAACUCAAAAUUCUUGUGAAUGUAGAAAAUUAUCCUUGAGAAGCUCAAUCACUGCAAAAUAACUAUGAAAUAGGUUUAAAUUCAGGUAGACUCAUAAACCCAGCUUUGAUUUUCUUUCAUUGGUUAAAUGAAAAUGGCAUUAGAAAUGUUUAACAAUUUAGUUUAGUUAAAGGUAAGCUAGAAAUCAAGAAUAGAAACAUUGUCCCAAUGCAAGUGGGAGGUGGGGGAUAAGAGAGAAUUGAAAUAUCCUAAAAUUAAAAAUAUUUCUGUCUUAUAAUUGUAGAAUAUAAAAGUAGUAUUUAAGCAACAACAUUUUCAAUGGUUGGGUCCACGAUAACCCAAUUUAAGUUGAAGGUACAAAUUUCAACGCCUUGCUUGAUCCAAAUUCUAUUAACAAUUCAAUAGAAAGAUGUGAUGCUAUUGCUAACAAAUGUCAAAUGUCUAGCUAUUUAAAUGAUUUAAUCAAUACACCUUGUCUCUUAAAAAGAAAUAAUUUUGCACACCAUCUUAUUUUCUACCCUUGUGUCGAUUUACAAAAUAUUAAAAAUUACUAUUUUGAUCUUCUCUUUUUUUUUUUUUUUUUUUUUGACUCCUAGAAAAAUACUAUACUAAAUAAAUCUUGCAAAGUAUAUGAGUUUGUGACAAGGAGAUUCCAUCGAUAUAAUGAAUUUCAUAACUUAGAUGAUCAAUUUUUAACAAUAUUUCUAAAAUAACCAAAAAGAAAAAGAAAGGGUAAUAGUUAAUGAAGCUUUUGAUUCCCAACGUAUUAAAAUGAUUUUUGAACCCUAUUAUUGGUUAGCCAAAUGAAAUGCAUACGCAGCAUUUAAAGAAUUUGAUAAAGUGUCAAAUUUAUUAAUUUGAUGAUGUGUCGUAUACUAACUAUUGAGAAGCUUCUUUGUCACACACCAUUAUGUCAUGUUGUCUAUCUCAACGUAAUGAGUGAAGAACUAAAGCUCACUUCCCCCUAAACCAUUUCAGACGUGGGAAGUAAAACAAAAAUUGUUCCAUCCAAUGAACAAGUAGAUAAGUAAGAACUUGUUCACCAUGAUUUGUGGUACCAAUAUCAGUGUUGAGGAAAGAAACCUUUAUCCUUCAUUCCAUACAUUCUUCAUAAGCCAUAGACUCAUACAUGCAAUGGACUAUGGUGUUCUGAAAGGAGAGCAAUCAAAAUUGACGAGUGGUUAUACCAAUAAACUACCUUAGAUAUAAAUUUCAAAUAAACUAAGAUAAGGAAAUGGCAACUUUCCCCUAAUUCAAUUGGAUGGCAAUGGCAUGGGGGAAUUGUUGUCAAUUAAUCUCUUAUUAUCGUUGAUAAUUAGUGUAAAGCUCCUCCCGAAAACACUUCAUAUUUCUAACCUUCGGCACUAUUACGAAAAGAAGAAGAACAAAGUUACAAAUCGCAAGAACAUCUCACGAGAAUCCCAACAUGGCCAGCUGCAUUUGCUUAAAAUUAGGGCGAAUAUUUAAAGUAAAGCUACCACCACAAACAUUGUACAUUACUAGGACAACCGUGUUUUUUCCUCUACUUUCUAAUAAUAGAACUAACAAACUCUUCAGAAUGGCCUGAAUUGUUGACUAAAAAGUAAAGGAGAUUAAAUGAAACAAGAUCGAUAGAACAGAUCUCAUGACAAAAAACAAUAAAAUAUUCAAGUAGAGAACCUAUUAAAUCAAAAAUUGAUCAGAUUUCACAAGUACAGCAUAAUUCGAUACUCAAAACAAAGCCCUCAAAAUAUAGUGAAGAAUCCUAAAUAAAAUUGAAGUCCACAAAAUCUGAGAAACCACGAGAAAAUUAAAUAGCAUAUAAAGCGUUCUUUCAAGCACGGGGUGGAGCUCCACCAGCUCCAACACGAGGGUUCUGUCCUGCCUGUCCAGGCUUUGGUGCAUCGUCCUGAGGAAAAACAUGGACAUAAUUCAACUAAUUAAACAAGCACCAACAACAGAAGCGUAUUUGUAUUUGCAAAUAAAAAAAUAAAACAAUAUAAGUAGAUUUAAAAUUGAGUGAGCAGCAACAAAACCAUGAAUUUCAACGUAAAUACUAACAAAACAGCAAAACGUUGCCUCAUGUUCCAUUAAACACCAAAGUAAACAGAAUUAGCAACCUUCAAUUUUGAAAUUGUGAGACUUGUUAAAAAACAAGGGCAAAGAAUGUGCAUUAACCCAGCAACAUGACAACAGUCAUUACACACAUCAUGAUUAACAUUAACAAAAAUGGAUAAAUAGAAAAAAGUAAGCUUUGUGAAGAUAUGUUAAAGGGUCAGCACUAAACACGUAUCAAUAGGCUUACGAUACGGCCAUACAACAGUGAGGAAUGGCAAUAUUUACAUAAAGACUCCAUUCUUAGCAACCAAAUCACACAAAAAUUGCUAAUGAGAAGCUAAUCAUCCAUUGGCAAAAGCUAGAAAGACUAAUCAUACACGAGCUCAUAUAAAUAGUCAUAUCAAUCUAGGAAAAUUAAUGAAACGAAAGAACCAAGAAAGAAAAGUAAAUAGAUUCAAAAUAUACCCUGCGUCUAAUGAAGCGCUGUGGGGGCUCACGUUUCCUCCUGUCAGUGCGUGAUCGAACCCUCACAACGUGAGAGUGAAUAGCACAAGAAACACAGUACUGCAUCUUGGCAUAAAGCUUAGGAAGAGUGUAUUCUGUAUCAAAAAACAAUCAUACAAAAAAUCACUCAAAACUUGCAACAUUGGAACAUAAAGGAAAAAUACACUCAAGAAAAGGAUCAUACGAUCAUAAACACAGGCUUCCUGAACAUCCCUAACAGCUGCCUGCUCCACAAUGUUCCUGACAAGGAACCUCUUGAUUGCCUUAUCCUAUCCACCCCAAGAAGAAACCACAUAAUUAGAUAUUCUAUACCAAACGAUAGUUCAACCGGUAAUUGCAAAUACGAGACGAAAUCAACCCAGAAUACCAACAACACAACAGGAAAAGUAAAACCCAGGAUGCGAAUUACUCGCGUCUUAAUUCGAUGAUGGUUAUACAUUGAGAUGCAAAUAGACGGAACAUCAAAAUAGGGGGGGAAAGAACCCUAGGUACCUUAGGGCAGCAUUUGCCGCAGUUGGAACAACGGAUGAAUUUCACGUGGCCACGUCCAUGCUUGUUGCGUCCACCAUUCCUGCGCUUGAAAGUCUGAACCAAAAGAGAAAUUGUUAAGCAGAAUACUAGAGGAGAACGAAGGAUCGAAAGAAAGGGGUGAGAGAUUAGGUCACCAUGGUUGUAGUGUAUGAGAUGGACGAGCGAAUCGGAGAGAAUCGGAGAGCUCGUCGGCUGAAUUAGGGUUUAUGAAUGAGUGGUAGUGAUCCUUUUAUAUGAAGGGGAAACAGAAGGUGACCUAGCGAAUGAAAUCCCUAAUUUGGCUUAUUUGCAUAUAACCCCCCAUUAUUCUUCUCUUUUUCAUUUUUUACCUACGACAUGGAUUCAUUACUCAUCUUCUUGGCCCAUUACAUUUCUUUUACACCACUUCUAAAUAUUGUUAUUAACAUUUAUAUUUUUCUUUUUAAAAAAAAAAACUUGUGUUAGAUGACAUAAACAUUUAGAGAAAACAAUUCAUGAAACAUCUUUUUUUGCAUAUUACAAAUAUAACAAGUAAUUAGUAUCACACCUCGUCCCGAAUAUCUGCUUGCUUGUCUCGCGAGACACCGUGUGACUUAAGCAUCAUUGACGCCGUUAAACACCAAAGACACUCGUCUUAACUUCCUUAUUUUAUCUUAAACACCAAAACACUUAACUUCGUGAAUAUUCUUUAGGCGAUAAAAAACUUAAAGCGAAAAAAUAAAACAACUUUAAACUUUUAUUCCUUAACAAGACAUUUAGUACAAUAACAUAAUGAUACAACACUUAACCAAAAGAUAAAAAUCAACCCUUAAACUUAAACACCUUACAACUUCUUGCCUAGCAAACCCAAACUUCCUCUUCCUUUUUGCCUCAACGUCUAAACCUUGGAAGGUAAAAUUUUAAAACAUAAGUCUAAAAUACUUAAUGAGGUUUUAUGAAAUCCUUUUUGCAAUACAUUUUUAUAAACAUCAUUUCUCAUAAAUAAUAUCAAAUCAUUUCGUUUCGCAUAAAACUUUUCUUUAUGCUUAACAAACACAUUUAUAACAUAAAAAAUUCAUAUAAACACACAUUAGUUAAUAAUUAUUCCUUUCACCGAGGAUCCCGAGUCGUUCUCUACAUUUGGUAUCAUUACCUAGUGUUUGACUACUGUAACAACAACAUCCGGGAACAUAUCAAUUUGUCAUUAUUGCUCAUAUCGUUGAGCUUUAUACGCUCCUUUCAAUGCAUAAGUCGGUUUCUUAUCACAAUGUAGUCCGUACACCCAUUGUGGUCUUAACUCUUUAUGUGCACAUAAAAGUUAGCAUCAUCUCAAGGAAUCAUGGUUUGAAAACCAUUUUAUAGCAUUGAAAUUGUAUUCAUCAAAUCAAACUUUAACAUUAUAAAUCAUGCUUGAACACAUAUAAACUUUUCAUAGAAAUCUCUUUUUGAAACACUUUCUCAUUUGAAGUCAUCUUUCAAAAUAGUAAAGGAAAAUCAUAAGAAAUUUUUUAACAUAAAACAUCUAAGAAAGCCACUCAUAGAUCGUAAAUCAACCCUUAACUGAAAUGUCCAAGACCUCUUUGAUCCAAACCUUCACUGCACAUAAACUCAUUUUCAGUCAGAACCUUUCUUCCAAUUUUAUAGCUUAAUAACAUAAAAUCCAGAACUCAAAUGAAAAUGUUUCAUUCUACAAAGUCGUUGAAAAAUUUCUUAAUAAUAAUACAUCAAAAUUUUAGCAAAAUAUUCAACCAAAUGCGUCUUGUAACCUUCUUGGAGUAAAGACUGAUCAGUUUUUAUACGAGAAUGACAUUCCUCUCUUCUUUUAACUCAAACUCCGCUUUUCUUUUCUCAAAUUAAACCAACAGCCCCAAUGUAGGAAAUAAACUAAAAAAUGAAACUUUCUAGAGUAAUUUUAUUUAAUACACACGAGUGUAGUAUGAAAAAUUCAAUAUUGAAAAUGACCUAUUUUUAGAGUCCAUUGUAUGAAUUUACGUUGACACCUCAUCUUUACUUAAAUCCACCUUAAACCUUAUUAAGACACAUCCUGCUUAUUUUUACACCUUAAAACGCAAGCUAACAAGUCUUUGACACUUCACUUAAUCCUUAAAUCGCUUGCCUUAAACUUGCCACGUGGUUGUCUAAAACGCAUAACUAGCUUCCAAUACCAUCUCACAUAGUUUCUCACUCAGACUACAUAACCCGACUUAGAAAGGUUAUAACUUAAAAUACGUAACUCUUUUGAUCAAACUUAUUUCUACAAAGUUACUUUAAAACGCGUUAACUUUCUUUUCUCUAAAUUUCAUAGCCAAACGCCAAACUAUGCGUUAUGUAGUCUUCUAGGAGUGCAUUUUACUCAAAUUCACUCAUGAAUUGACCUUCUCGCCUUCUUUUAUCCAAAAUGCCAACUUUCUCAUAUCCAAAAUGCCCAACAGCCUUCCUCAAUAGACUAGACUCAAAUUUUAUACUUUCAAGACCAACUCAUUUUAGAAGUUAGCUAAAACACCCAACUUCUACAAUCCUUCUUUCUCGCCAACCUUAAACACUCAAAAUGUCUAAAGUGCUCUUUUUUUAUACUUAAUCAAAAAACUUAUUUCUUUCAAACCUCUUAAAUAUCUUUGAAAAAUCUACAAUACCUAAAAUUCGGAUCUUACAAUUAGAAUAUCGUAGGACUAUUAGAAGUUACUAGUUUUUAAAUUUGCUGUUUUUGCAAUUUAGAAAAUAUAGUGGGAUACUAUGUUAUUAUAAAAAAAAAUCUUUUGUUAUUUUUAAAAGUGUCCCAAUUACAUUGGGUACAAAUUUAAAUAUAAAACUAAGCAUUUCAUCAAAUUUUUAAAUUUGGAGAAUAUGUCAAAACAUUGAUGUAGAAAAUAACAAAUUAUUUAAGUGGGUUUAAAUUUAAUGGCGAUUAAGUAAUUAAGCUUGAUGACAAUUUUAUAAAUAUGUGGAACUUUUACAACUUUAGGGCACUCCUUAGUGAAGCAUAAGAAAGAAAAAAAUUUAGGUGUUGUUUGUCCUCUUCGAUUGGCAUCAUGUGGGCUUGGCAUUUGAUGCCAAAUCAAUGCCCAUGGUGUAAAAUCAUAUGUUUAACAUGUAGGGUAAAUUGACGACUUUUUUUAAAAAAAAAAUUACAAAUUUCUAAUUAACCUAUGAUAAAAUGUAAAUUUUUGGUGCAUUCAAAAAGUUGGUUGGAGGGAGAAAGGAAUUAUAACAUUGUGUAGAUUUGAAUAGAGAAGGGUAAGAAUGUAAAUUCACAUAAAAAAAAGGGUUAGUUGUAAUAAAGUUUUUAGAAAUGAGUUAGUGAUAGAAAAGUUUUAGUUUUUAGGUCAGUUUAUGAAAGUUUCUUACCAUGGUUGAAGUUUGAGGAAGAAGUUAUUGUCCAUUACUGUCUUAGUUUGUUUGUUGAGGUCAUCGACGAAGGCCAAAAUUAUGUGGCCAUAGUUCGUCGAAAAAGUUAUUCUUGUUUUACAAUCCAUCAAAGUCGUUAGAGUUCGUAGUGAGCAUCACAGUCAUUUCGUUCGUUGAAUUCGACAUCGAAGUUGUUCCUUUAUCACUUAGCAAGGAAGAAAUAGUGAAAGAGAAAUAGCGAGAAGUAUGAAAUUAGAGUGUUUUAUGAGAGGUAAUUAUGACGAUCCGGAUCAAAUUUGUUAAAACUCUUUUUUAAGAAGUAAUCUUUAAAAAAGAAUGGUUUGGGGCCUUAGAAUGUUUCUUCUUCUUCUUUUGUUUGGUUAUUUUUUAUAAAUUUGUCUCAAAUUAGAAACAUCUAAUACAAUUAUUAUUAUUGGAUGGGAAAGUUGAUGUUUUGUUUGGAUAAUUGAGAAUCCAUUAAACAUAUAUAUACAUCUACAUAUACAUAUAUAUAUAGGAAGUCUAACUUGAAAAUUAACUAAAACAAUAAAAUAGGCAUAGAACAACUGUAAGGUUUCCAUUAAAAUAAUACACUAUCGUGAAAUUAAAUUAAAAAAGGAAAAGCGACUUUUUCUUCAUAUUCAUUCAGCCUCCCAGAGAAGAAGAAAGAGGGAAUGCUUUGAAUUUGGAAGUUAAAAAAUUCUUCAAUUCCGUGAAAUCCAUUUCCAUCUUUCCCUUCCCAUUUCUCCAUCAUUCAAAAACAAAACCCCCAACACUUCUCCACCUUCAAUUUUUACUCUAAACCUCCACAAUUCUGUCUCACCGGACCCGACCAAUUCAUAACUGCAAUGGUCGAUCUUUCCGAAACGGCUGCCGGCAGCGCUGAAGCCGACGGCAAAGACAUACCCUGCACCUCAUGUGACCGCCAAACUUUACUCCACCAGUCCAUGGGCGGCGGCAAAGGUAUUUCAAUUCUCCUUACAUAAUUUCGUUGUCUCUCGAUCAAUUUCGCGUUUCUGAAUUAGAUUCCUUCGACCCCUUAUCGAGAGUUGAUGUUGAAUCAGUUGGGUGCAAUCGGUGAUUCUUGAGGGGUUUGAUUUUUUAUGAUACACUGGAUGAUAUGAAGCUUUAAUUUAAAUGUUUUCUGAAAUGGGUUUGCCUGAUUCGUCCAUGUUCUUUUCAUUUUAUCUGUUUGUUUCCCUUUUUCGCAUUUCAAUUACGACUUUGACUGGUUGAAACUUGAAGUUUUUGUUACCUUUUGGCUUUGGGAAUCGGAUUCUACAUUGGCUAUUUUCCCAGUUUUAUUACAAAUUUCUUGCGUGGUUUUCAUCUUUCUUCUUCGUGUCUUAUAAGGAAAAAUUAAAACCAAUGAUGAUAUUCCCCUUUCUCGUUUGAUAAUCUUGACCCUUUGUUCUUUUGCAUAGCGGCUGAUAUUCUUCUGUGGAAACAGUGGCAUGUCUCUAUCGGCGUUCUUGUUGUUUCUACAGUAUUUUGGCUUCUAAUUGAGCACUCCGGAUUGCCAUUGUUGACAACAUGUUCAGAUGUCUUGCUGAUUUUGGUUGUCCUAUUGUUUCUUCGUGCCAACUUCGCUGCAUUCCGAAACAAGUACGGUUUUAGCUUACUUAUGUUUUGAUUCACUCUGAAGUUCUUGCAUAUCAUAGUCUUUUACAGAUGACUUUUUGCUUAUACUACUUUGUUCUUUCCAGCAGAUAAUUUGUUUUCCUCGUUAGCUUUUCUUCAUUUUCUCUCUUUAUGCAGGCAACUUCAAACACUACCGCAGCUGGUACUGUCGGAGGAGUUUGUCAACAACGUAGCAGCAUCACUUCGGGCAAAAAUCAACAACACCUUACUUAUGGCUCAUGAUAUCACGGUUGGCAAUGAUUUCAAACUCUUUUUCAGGGUUGGUAUUUUUGAAGCACCAUUGAAUUAUCAUACGUGUGAUGCAUACUGUGAUUCCUAGUCCUAAUAUCCCAUAUUAUUGGAACUUGAAUUAAAUGGCCAAAACUGAUAAGUAUUUACUGGGUUUAAGUACUUUUCUCUGAAAAUAAUAGAUUUAAGAAUGUUUUACAGGGUUGUUCUGAGGUAGUUAAUAUUUUACAGGACAGUUUCAAGAAUGCAUAAACUUAAUAUUCACUUCAAGAGCAUAAUGUUGACUUGCUACUUCUUUGUUUUUGGCUGCAAUAAUAUGAUUAACCUUGCAAACACCUUUUGCAGAUGGUGAUCGGAUUGUGGCUUUUAUCCGUCGUUGGUAGCUACGUUUCUUUCUUUACCUUUGCAUAUGUUGGUAUGCACGAACAUCCUAAAACACUUGCAUUCACAUUUCUUUAGUUCGUAUAUGUUCAUCUGUUGGUAAAUUACGAUCCUCAACGACAAGUAAACAUUCAGAGAAUUUUGUUUGUUUUGUCCAUACAUCAUUUCCUUUCAAUGUUUUUUGCUCUCAAGAAAUGAAUACUGUCUAAUGAAUGCCCCUUUGUAAUCGAGUCUUCUUAACCUAGGAUGUUGAUUUUUGCCAUUUAACUGGAUGACAGGAACAAUCAUCUCAAUAACCAUCCCUGCUUUGUACAGCAAAUACGAUAAACACGUUGACAGAUACUGCGGAAUGAUCCGCCAACAAUUUAGAAAGCAUUAUAGAGUGAUGGAUGAGAGUGUUUUCAGCAGACUCCCUGGUGGUUUAUCCAAAGAUAAAGAUCAGUGAAAAAACUCUGCCUUUAAUUUUCUAUAGUUUUACUGAAACCACAGGAAGAUUGUAACAAUGUUCUAUCACAAAUGAAUGCCUUAACUGGAUUCUUGAAGGUUAUUGCUUGGCCAUGUGUAUUUCAUACCCCAAGGUUUAAUGAUGUCAGCCAUUAUAGAUCAGAUAUCACAUAUUUUAGUUUUUAAUUGCUAGAAGAAAAGAUCAGGGUUAUGUUCUUUUUCUUUUUUGUUUGGGAGAGGUUAUUUAAUGAUAUUUAUGAAUAUUUUCUUUUGAAACUUGUAAGUGGGGAAAGCUUUUGAAUCUGGUUGGUCAAGGUCUAAUACUGAGAUUGAAUUUCCUUUUUGUCAAGUAUGGACCAGCCCACAAAAGGCCUCAUUAUUGAUUACCCAACAAUAGGUUAGUUGGUUCAUAUUUCAUAGUGUGUUUGGACUUAAAAAAAGGAUAAACUUUGGGACAUUGCAAAUUUGGUCCCUAUUAACUAUUAAGUUGGAUACGUUUACAAUUAAAUUGAUUAAACAAUGUCUUAAAUGUCUCUACCAAAGUUAAAAACUAGAAUCCUAAAUAAAAUUAUUCAAUAAGCCACAAAUAUCCUAUAAUUAAAUCAAACUUUUCACACACAAUUAAUACCUAUCAAAAUUUUAAUUUUCUUCUAAAACCUGAAAAUUAACACCUAUCACUAUCAAAGCUCCACCUACUUUCUACCGUCGUUUCACAUCUUCUUUAAAUCGUGGUCAAGUAGUCGUUUCAUAUCUUCUUCAAAUCGCAUUCAAACGUUCAGGGAUUCAAAGGUUAUCGAUCUCUUCACAUCUUUCAAACCUUUAAAAAACUUAAGGUAUUCAAACGUUGAGGAAAAGAGGGUCAUCGAACAACAUUUUUGAAAUCCUUGAAACUCUUCAAAGUCGAAAAGAUUCCAGGUUCCCUAUCUUCCGCUUACGUAGAUUCCACCAAUUUUUUUUUUUAAAAAAAAUCUUUCGUCCCCUUUAAACAUUUCAUCACUUGUAGAAACGAUUGGAGCUUCAAGUUUCUUUCCCUUCAAAUCGAUUUGAUCGGUGCAAAAGUGAGAUUUUUCAAGGGAUUUUCUUCUUCGUAGUUCUUCUUUCGUUCGUUUGAGCUCUCACUUUUAGGAAAAUUUAUUAUGAGUACGUUUAAUGUAAAAUUUGCAAAUAACAUAAAUAUUGGUAUUUCAAACUAAGGUAAAAAAGUGCAAAUCUACCUACUAUUUUUCCAGAGAAAUUUUCAAAAAUAGCAAAUUUUGACAAAAUAUUUACAACUUAUAGCAAAUUCUAUCAAUGAUAGUUUUCUUGAUAGUUAAUUCUAUCACCGAUAGUCAUUGAUAUACUAUCAAGAGAACUAUCAUUGAUAGAAUCUAAAAUUUUGUUAUAGUUUGUAAAUAUUUUAAUUUAUUUUACUAUUUUAAGAAAAAAUCAUUUAAAUAUGUAUUUUCUAUUAAUUUUUAAAAAAACUUUAUAAUUGCCACAAAGAAUAUAAUUAUUUAAAACAGAAAGAUAUGGAUAUUCGUAAUUUUAGUUGAAAUGAAAGAAACUAAUCUAACAUACGAAAUUCUUGUAUAUAUAAUUGACAUUAUUUCACGGGAAGAAUUGUAAAAUUCAAAUUCAAUUUUUUAUUAAAAAUGUAUAUUGCAUAUAAUUCAAUAAAUUGUUAAUGAAUUGUUUAAAAUAUAAUAAAUCUGAAAAUCUUGUAUAUAUAUUUUACAUCGUUUUAGGGGAGGUUGAUGAAAUAUUGUCUAGCAACAAAAUAGCAUAUUUAAUUAAAUUUGAAUGUUGUUUGAGAAAUACAUUGUCUCUAUACAAUUUGUGAUAUCUUACCUCGUUUUUGGAUCUACUCAAAAUAUUUUGAUUAAAUAGAUUAUCUUAUACCUAGGGAUAGAUUUGAGUUUAAAAUAAUUAAAUACCUUUUCGCAAAAUACCGUUUGUAAACAUCAUUUUGCUAAACAUAUUCAAUUACAUGAAUUCAUUUUUUCACAUAAACUUAUCAUUUCGCACAUCACAUCAAUUUACAUUUCCAAUAUCACACAUUAGUCAAGUUAUUCCUUCUGCCAAGAAUCUUGAAUCAUUCUCUACGCAAGGACUCAUCAUCCGCAUUUAGACUACUAAGAUGACUUUUUCAUCAUCAACAUCCAAAAAUAUCUUGAUUCAUUCUUGUUGCUCAGGCCGUUCAUUUUCGUUUUCUACAUUGGUCCGCUUUACUCCACCAUGCAGUCCUUUUUUACAUGACUGCCUUUACCCCUAUGUGCACAUAACAGUUAACUCAUCAAUAGAAAGAUAACUAAUGAUUUGAACAUUUAUUCAUAAACAUCCACAAUCUCAAUAAACAUACUUUGAAAUACAACAUAAGUUUUAUAUAUAUAUAAAAAUCUCUUUUUAGAAAGCAUUUUAUUUGAAUAAUCAUUAACUCAAAUCAAUAAGAAACUUAUAAGGAAAACUUUUAACACAAAUUUUUAAAUAAAGCACUCACUACAGUUGGAAAAUAAACUUCAAAGGCUUCUCCUCUUCUUCUUUUCUCGUCGACAAAUUGACAACACCUCAACACUUAAAUUUUUUCCUUCGAAUUCUCAGAAUAAUCAUCCUUAACAUUAUGAUCUCAUACUCUACUUAUACUACUUCAUUAUCAAGCUUAGUCAUCUUUAGUCUCUUAUUACCUUACUAACUCCUACUCUUAGUGAUGCAUGUGUAAGCUUAAAGUUUAACUUAAUCAUGUUUAAGUACUUAAACUCUACAUAUGGUCCAUUAAGCAUACUUAGAAAAUUUAUGUGAAUUGAAGUUUCCUUGCUUCUUCAAGUAGUCAUUUAUCUUGUGAAACACCUUAAUCGCAUAAAAACAUAACUUUAAAAAAAAAUCUUGUCGCAUAACCUUUCUCACAGACUAACCAACCUUUUCUCGCAUAGUCCAUCCAAAACGUCUCUUUCAGGACAUUUAGUCAAAUUUUACUUCUUAUAUUAACUACGAGUCUUAACUACAAGUUUUACAUUAACAGAAAUCCAUAAAUGUGUGCAUCCCUCAUUUGCUAAAAAUCUUAUUCUCGCUAGUUUUUGCUAUAUUUCCAACUGCAACCUCUAAAUUUGUCAUUCCUACAUGUCUCUUAUGAAUUUUAUCGGGAAUCAAUGGUAAUCACGUUUUUUUGUUGUUUACCCAUGUGUUGCAUAGUCGAACUUUGGUCUGGCUCGUGUUUGAAAAUUUCACCCUUACCCAGAUACUCUAAUUGUGUAUAAAAAUUAUGAAUUUUUAUCACUUAUUAUUAUGUUUACCAUUACCAUUAUCAUUUUUGAUUGAAAUCUAUUAUAAUUGAUUGGUAAAUUUGACCUAAAUUGUAAUUUGCGAAACCAGAGGGUUAAAUUGUUUCAUGAAAUUAUAAGGGUCAAAUUUGAUGAAAGGGGAUAACUUCACAUUAACUGCAAUACGUAUUUAAAGCUAAAUUCACAUUAUUUGCAGUAUUCAAUUAACCAUAACAUCAAAACAACCUAAAUACUGGCAUGAACAAAUAAUUUAUAUUUGGUAUGUUGUUCUAUAUGCAAAAUUAUAUUUGGUAUACUGUUUGUGUAAAAUGCUACACACACAUAUAGACAAACAAACUAUGAUUAUAAGAGUUACAAAUGUGGGAAAAAGUUAAAAUUAAAGCAAAUGGGUGUCCCAUUUUAUAUUUUGAUGGUCAUAUGAGUUUUCACAUCCAACCAAAACAUAGUUUAUUGAAUCAUUGUACUCUUCCAUAUCAUCUCAUUAUCUAUUGUCCAUCCACUUCUCACUUCUUCUUCUUCUUCUUCUUUUUAAUUUCCAUUUUUUCCCUUAAUUCAAGAAAUGCAAUGCAGACGACUUACUUUUAGAAAAGUAAUUUAUGUUUUAUUUAUUAGAGUAUGUUAGUCUAAGCAUUUCUUUUUAUUUUACCUUUUCAUCAUCUAUUCUUUCCAUCACAACUUCUACUUCUAAACGUGAAGUACCAAACUUCCUAACUCCAUUUCUUUUUUCUGUUUUUUAUGAUAAAUUGCCUUCAAAGUUGGUCCAUCUAUCUAUCCAAAUGCCUUUAUCGUCAUUAAAUAGUAACAAUUUACUUUUGGGUAUAGCAAGUGAACUUCACGACGUAGAUGACAUGCAACUAUGACAAUUAGCAUUGAUUGCGUUUUAAAAUUUUAUUUCUACAGAAAGAAAGAAAGAAAGAAAAAAAAAAGUAGCCAAAGAAUUAAUACUUGACUUAAAAACUGCAAUUAAUAACAUACCUAAAAAAAUCCAUAAACCUUUGCUAUUUAUGUUAAAAUUACUCAAUUGUUUUUGAACUUACAAUAUUACCCUUUCAUAAAACAAAUUCAAAAGUGCCAUCUUAUGUUAAAAGAUUAUAUAACUCUUAACAUUAAAACUUUUUUUCACGAACAAAGGGAAUGAAGCUAAGGGUGUUAUUAUUUUUAAUACAAGUCUCGUUUUAAGCUUUAUGUUAAUAGAUGGAUUAUAGAUAACUUAUUACAUUAAACUUUCAUUAAGUAUCACUAAUGAUAAAAGAGUGCCAAAAAGAUAAUAGGCAUAACAAAAAAAUUAAAAGAAGUACUAGAAAAAUAAGAUGUACAUAUUAAGAAAAAUAAAGCUUUUCAAUUAAAAGGAAAAAUUAUAUAUAUAAAACAGAAAACAUUAAUGCAACGUCCUCAUACUAAUAAAUUGAGAGGACUAAAUCAACAAUUCCUUUCUAAACAUAGAAAACUCCUUCUUCAGUAACCAUUUUUCUUCUACACACAAUAUUUUCCUAUAUAUUUUAUAUUUAUGAAUAUAUAUUUAUUAUAUAUAUAUAUAUUUUUUUUGGGUUUUUUAAAUCCCAAAGACCUAGCGGGUGUGAGUCAACCACCACUGCCAUAGCCGGCCACCGAAACGAGGGCGCCCGGAGAUCUUCCUACUCUACCCUGUGUUUUACCCUCUCUGAGCUUCUUUUUAGAAUUGGCCUCCCUCGAACGUCUGACCGAACUGCCAGUUCGCCGGAACGGCGUCGUAGCUAGUGACGGUACGGCCGUCGCUGGUGGUGACUUGGAAAGAGAGGCUCUGUCCAUUCAAGUAAUUGUUGCUCUGCCAAUUCUGACCCCAAUUUCUUGACAUCGCUUGCCACCCUGUUUUCGAACCUUUGAUUGACACCGAAUGGAUGUCUCCGGCGCCGCCCACAUUGGUGAUUAGAACUAAGUUGAAGUAUGAAUGUCCGUUAAUGGUGAAUCUUAUUCCUCCCUUCUUCAUACAGGGUACUCUGUAAUUCAUCAAAAUCAGAGAUGAGACAAGAAAAAAAGAAAAGAAAAGAAAAGUGGAUGGUUUUAUCUGUUAUAAAUCGAAGAAAUUGGUUUUUAAUUUGACCUUUGGAAAGAAACGGGAACGAUUCCGGCACGGUACUGAGCGAUUUGGAGAAAGGCAGGCUCAGCCAAAUCGAAGUGUUGAAGAGGAGGGUUGCACCAGCCGCCAUUGUCGUUGGACAGAGCAAAGUUUGGUGGACAGAAAUUAGUGGCGGUGACGAUGAUUUUUCCGGGAAGACACCAUUUAGGAUCACUGUUGCAAGUGAUUUCAUAGCAAGAGCCACAGCUGAGACCAUUGUUGAAGAGAGCAGUACUAAGCGCCGCCGUGUUCGUUCCAUAUCCUUGACUGUACAAAUUCCCAUACCCACAAGCUCCACCUGAUAAAAAGAAAAAACCCAAUUCGUCAUUAGGACAGAAGUCCAAAGAAACGAUCAUAAAUCACCCAUUGACCAGAAAAACAAAAUGGAUAUUAACUAGAGAGGAAGUAACAAUGGAGCAACUUGAAUCUACAAUCUCUUGUAAUCUUAAAAUACAAAUGACCCAAAGCAAAUGAGUAAAACGUUAAUGGAAGAGAAAGGAAGAAUUGAAAUCGUAAAAUAGUGAAGGGUUAAAAAUCUGAAGUUGAUGGUUGAAAGUGAAGAAAGGAAGAUGGAUAGUUUGAUUAGUUAGUUUACCCAUUGUGCCAGAAGCGUCACCACCGCCGUAGAAGGUGGCGUGGCCGUAAUCGGCAGAGAUUGAAGGAAGGAAAAUGAGGAAGAAAACAGAAAGAGAAGAGAGUAGUGAUGAAGGAGCCAUGGGAGAAGGAAGGUUUAAGAGUUUUGUAGUGAAGGGUUUGUAGUGGGGGAGUGGGAAGAAAUAGAAGAGAGGGUGUUAUUUAAAUAGAGGGGAAAAGAAAGCAGUUGAAGAAAAGUACAAGUUGGCUAUAAUUGUGGUGGAGAUUGGAAUGCAAAAUAGAAUAAAGCAAAGGGUAAAAUAAAAUAAAAAGGAGAAAAUAUAUGUUUUGUUAUAUGUUUUGAGAAUCUUUUAAUUUACUUCGUUCUCUCAAAAAAAAAAAAAAACGUAAAAGAGUUUAAUUGUUAAGAAUCACAAAAAUUCAUUACCUCUCUAUUUUUUUAUUUAUUAAAUACUCAGUUUCACCACUAAUGUUAAUAUAUAUUGCAAAAACUGACAAAAUUAGUCCCUAAAAUUGAAAGGCAAUAGAAAUUAAUUUGAAAAAGCAGGGUUGUUAUCAUUUAAGUGAGUGAGUUAGAGGUUAAUUUAAAAUACUAAACAUGAACAAGAAGUGAGGAACAAAAAAGUGAAAUAUUGAAUGAAAUUUGUAUUAAAAAGACUAAAAAUAUAAUAUUUAAAAACAUAGAAAUCCAAUAAAAAUAAAACCCAAUAGAUGAAUUAAAAUGAGAGGGGGAAGAAGGGGGAAGAAGGGGGAAGAAGGCACAUGGGAGGCGUAUGAAAUGGACUACCAACUCUUUAAACACGGGUGGGCCCAUACAGCACAUGCUUUUUUCUUUUCUUUAAAUUUGGAUGGGGAAAGGGAAUACGUAAUUUCCACGUGGCUGGUAUUUUGUUCGUUGGUAAACGGUAGUUAGGAAUCUGUGCCGUUAGGAUAUACCUGAAUUUCCGCUUCUCUUCUAUAUUACCAUAUCAAACAAACGCCCCUCACUUUCACAUUUCUAGGGGUAAGGGUAACCCUAUACCCCUCUUCUCCUCUCCUUUCCCGCCCUGAUCCCCUUCUCCUUUUCCCUCUAUCUUAAAUAUAUACUACUCUUUCAUACCUUUCAUUUUUAACCCUCAAAUUUAUCUAAUUAAUCAAUUUUCAUACCCUCUUUCUUUCAUCCCUCCCCUCUCCUGAUUAUCUCAUUUUUACCCUUCAAUUUUCUCUAACCACCCUUUUUCAUUGGAUGUGAGUCAAGGUCAAUGUAUGUCCAACACCCUUAUUUCUUAUCACUCAUCUUUCAUCCUAUACCUUCACUAUCUUCAAUCCAAAUUCAUAUAUCAAAACAGAGUCAAAAUAUGUCUUCAUAAAAGUGUAGUCUCAUCAUUUUUAAAAAACAAUGGACAAUCAUAUAUGUGUGUAUAUAUAUAUUCCCCAUAUUAUUCAUCAUUACAUACACACCCAUAUUCCUAAAUUAUUGGCAAAUCAAUUAUUUGAAUUUCAACAACAUCUUUUCAUAUAAAAGAAUUCUAAAUAAAUCUUUUGACAAAAAAAUUUAACCGAUUAUUUUAUAAUUACUUUUACUUCUCUAAAAUAUUUGAAGCCAGAUUAUGAAUGAAAGUAAAAUUUAAUAUCAUAUCAUCUUUUAAGUAGUAACCAAUGAAGAAUUCGUCAACAUGAGUUCAAUGCAAUUGACAUAUGUGUAUUCACUUUCUCAUAUUCUCUUUACAUUUAGCCUUUUUGUUUGACUUUUUUUGUACUCAUUAAAAUAGCAUAUUGAAUUAAUAAUUCUAAUAAGUUUGAGCCAUUUUAGACAUUGAAACUCUAGAUUUGUACAUUUUUGCAUGUUUUGUUUGUCGUGGAAGCCAAUGAAUUAAAAUUUAGUAGUUUAUGAUUAAUAUGUAACGUUAGACUUAGACAUGAAAAAUGAGUUUUUAAGCACACAUUUAUAUUAAUAGUAAUUAAUUAAAUGAAGAAACACACAACUUGUAAGAAACAAAUUAUUCAAAUAGUACUAAUUUAAUUUGUAAAGUAAAGUGUUGAAAUAGAAAAUUGUUAUUGUUGGAUCCAAAUUUGAAGAUGGAUCUACCUUUCAUUAUUUAAACGUUCUUACAAAUUUUGGUAGAUUGAGAAAAAGAGUAUCUCUCGAUUAAAGUGUUGAACUAGUUAAUUAAGAAGAAAAACUUAAUUAUAACUAAGAAGACAAAAAAUCAGUUGAAAUGUUAUUUAUUGUUGAAAUUAAUAUUGUAAUAGACUAGUUCAACUCUCAAGAAUAAUGGAGUUUAAUCAUGUUUUGACUUCAUAUAUUAAUUUUAAUUUUCACAAUUAAAAUAUUUGGUCAUAAUAAGAAAAAUUAAACCCAAAAAUUACACUAACACUCAAAUCAAUUGAACCUAAAACCUAAUGAAAUCCAUCAAUUUUGACUCCCAUUCAAAGUGUUCGCUAUUUUAUAAAUUGACUUUUGGUGAUUAGCCACAUAUUUUCAAAAUAAUUUUUUUUGACUUUCUUUCUAGUUUUAAAAAAACCGUACUUACUCUCAAGUCUCAAUUUUAUUAAUUUAUUUACACAUAUUUCAAAACACAAAUAAAUUUGUUAGAAAUGAAUAUUAAGAUCUAAUAAAAUUUAUCUUUUUAUUUUUAUAAAAUUUGAAAAUAGAAUGAUCACUAAAUUGUUGUUUCAUAAAGUUUAGAGACUAAUUUGUUACUUUUAUAAAAAUAUAUAUGUAAAAACCAAGGUAAUGUUUAAUUUAUGUUAGUAGUGAGUUAUGAAUAAAUAAGGCAUAGAUUAGCGCCUAGCGGCAUCAGUUAUGAGGCCUUGAAAUAGAGAGAAAUUUUGGAGAGUAAAAUGAGAAGGUCGGAAAAGAAAAUAAAAGGGUGGGGGAGAAGACAAGUUGGGAUUGUGAAGUAAAAGUAAGUAACAAGAUUGUCUCAAAAGAAGCCAUUAAAUCCAAACAAACAAAAAGGAAAAAAAAGAAAAAGAUAUGGGAAUCUUAAUAUUCAUAAAUUGAUUUCUCUAUCAUAUAACUCCAACCCAUUUCAAUCUCAAUAAAUUUAUAAAUAAACCAAAAAGAAAUACACUAAUUUAUAUGUAUAUAUGGAGAGAGAGUUUGAUUUAUAAAACAAAACCGUCCAUAUAUAAUCCAAUUAUCCAAUCCAAAAUAUUAGAAGGGGAAGUUCAAAAAGUGAUAUAGAAACAAAAGAUGGCAUUAAAUAUAAAAUGAAGUUUGAUUGGUAUGGAUUUAUAAUAUGAAGAGAGAUUUUGAAAUGAAAAUAAAGAAAAAAGAAAAAUGGGGUCUACCAUGUUAGGGAGCACAUGGAAGGGCCGAUGUUUGCGCCUCUAUUUCUAACACAAAUCCAAAUAUUUAUUUAUUUUUUGUCAGACACCGACUUUUCUUUUAUUUUCACUUCUUUUUUCUUUUAUAAUAUAUAUAUAUAUAUCCCCAUGAACAUCAGUCAUCACCAAUUCACUUUUUUAUUUAUUUAAAAAAAAAAAGAACAAACAAAUAAAAACACCAAACCUUUUUUCUCUUCUAGGUUUUCCCCUGCCACAUCUUUUUUUUUUCUCUUUCCUUUUUAAUUUCAGAGACUUUUUUUUAAAAAAAUUAUUAAUUUAAGAAAAGGGUUUUUUUUCUUAUCUAUUUGGGUUGAAAGAAAUUGAACCGCCAUUUAGUAUCUUUGGUUUAAAAUAAUGGCUCAAAUAUAAAUUAAGCUCUAACCGACAAUAUUUGAGAUUAAUUAGUUUAAACACACAAUUUUGGCGGAAUCAUCAUCUAUUCAUUUGGUUUUCUUUUCUUUUUUAAUUCAUUUCUCUAUUGCAUCAAUUCUAUUGUUUGGACUUUAAAUAGGUUUUUGUUCAUAAUUUAUUUGUGUAAACUUCUUUUAAGGUACACGUCCCUAGAUUUCAACUAUACACCUAUUAACAUUCAUAAAAUUUAGUCAAGGUAGUAUUAUUUAAACGUUGUCAUCUUCCUACAAAAAAAAAAAAUUAAACUAAGUUAGGUUUGGGUCUAGUUUUUAUUUUUAUUUUAAUUUACAUUAAAAUUUGCGUAUUAAAAUGUCCCUGAUGUAUUUCAUUAGACGUUAUAAUUAAAAUAGAUUAAGUUUCAUUAUUUUUCUUCAAAAUUAAAACUAAUUUAAAAUUUUCACUUCAUCCAAACAUUAAAAGUGAGCAUUUAAUGAAAAAUCAAAGUUAAAAUCGUAAAACCUUGAAAUCGAGAGAAAAAAUUGAUCAAGUCUCAAAUUCCAAAAAGGUAAAUUAAUUGUAACGUUUUCAAACAUAUAAAUUAAACUCAAAAUUUAAACAAUAUAAUCGUCGCAACAUUUUGAAACUUAAAGGUUAAAACGUGUAGGAAGCAAGCAAAAAUAUCAAAAUUGUAUUUAAUUAAACUUUGUUUUUGUAAAGUAAGUAUAUACUACUUUUUCAAUAUGUUUGAAAACAUUUUCUCAGACCAUAGUAUUUAAUUUUUUGAUGGAUAUGUCCGGUGUUUAUUCUUCACAUGUAAUUAUAUAACGUUAGUCAAUUUUGGCAUAUUGAAAUGAAUAGAUCAUAUAAAAGAAAGAAAGAACCAAGGUAGGUAGCAUAAAUAUAUAUACAUGAAUGAAGAGAAUAAAUAAAUUUAAUUUUGAGAAGAAGGGAAAUGAAUUGUUUUUUAUUUUGUGUAAGAAAGAAAUCAAAAUGCAUGUGAGAAGAAAAUGAUUUGAUUGAGCAAAAUCUUCUAAAAAUGUGUCUGUUUGUGCAUGGAAGAAGGUGCAUGCAUGCCAUGCAUGAUUUUUCAUCAUUUCUUUUAUGAAAAAUAAAUAAAUAAAUACUCAUCAUAUCAUAUCAUUGUAUAUAGCAAUAUAAAUGUGGGGGGAGACAUGAAGACAAUAUAUAUGUGAUAAACACACACACCAACCUUUUUUUCAAAGUAUCUUUUUGUUUUAGUUUUUUUUUUUACUGCUUUUUUUCAAUUAAAAAACAAAAAAUUAGAAACAAAUCAAAUAAUAAUAUUUUAAAGUGAAAUGAACUUAGAUAAAUUAUACUUUGAUUUGGGCAAACAUAUUGCAUGUGAUGUGCUUAUGGGGUCAAAAAUAUUGGCUUUUCUUAUCUCAUAAAUUCAUUAUUGUCAUUGUCAAAAGCUGUAUGGAAUUAGAGAUGCUAUUAAGAAAUGAUUAGCCUUUUCUUUUGAAUCAUCUAUCUAUCUACCUCUAACUUUCAAUUUACUUUUAUUUUAAAUUGGAAUUAUUUCUUUUUUCUACUCUUCCCAUUUACACAAAGUAUAUCAAAACGACAAAAAAAAAAAAACAAAAAAAAUAUCAACUAUAUAUAUAUAUAGCUAAUUGGUAAAUGAGCAAAUUAAAAACUUAUUAUAAGGGCAUACAUAGGCAUCAAAUCUUGUCCAAGUUUUGGGCUUCGUUGUGGGUGGUGGUCUUGAUUUCAUGUGCCCUUACUCUCAGGUCGUGAGAUGUUCUUAGUUGACUUGUAUAAGAGAUUUUCAUAUUAGUGUCAUAUAAUGUUAAAGCCUACUGCAAUUUGAUACCUAAGUUAGUACAAAUAAUUACUAGUUCGGUAGAGCACAAAAUAAGUAGGGUUAUGGGUCUUUUAUUUGAGACAUUAUCUUAUCCUCUCCUUUUUGGGAUUGUUAAAUGAAUUAUUUAUAGUUCUGUUCUCUACGUAUGUUUAUGUUUGUAGGUGACGAUGACGUGGUGCGAAAGACAUUUUUGACACUUGAGUUUAUAAUGUGCCAAUUUGGAACUAACUCAAUUAUUUUUUGAUCAGUAUAUAAUCAUCAAUAAUUUUUUUUUGAAUUUGUUCUUUUGAGAAGUCUACUCCCUUAAUCCUUUUCUCAUUGCCCUGUGGAUGUAGGCUGGUUCAUGGACUUUAGAUCUUACUACAAUUCUUGACAUAAUUAAAAAGAAUAUAGAAAGUAAAGAACUAUAAAGAGAAAUCCCUUUGUGUUGGAUUUGAAAAUAAAGGGAGUAGUGUGUAAACUAAACCUUUUAACUUUUAACUUUUAACUUUUUUAUAAUGAGUUUUGGAUUGACAACCUGGGAAAAAGUGUUUGUUACAUAACUUUGAUGAUUCCAUAACCAUAUAUGAAUAUUUGGAACUAUUUUAAAAAAGGUUCCAAAUAUAUGAUGUUGUCACAAAAGAAAAGAAAAGAAAAAGGAAUAGGAACUUAAAUGUGGAUGGAUGGAGGAAAACAUAGUGAUGGAAGUAGGAAGAAAAAAGAUAUCCACAAAAAGGGCAUGUGAGGAAAACUAAAAACUAAAAACAAUAACAUUUAUCCAAAAAGAAAAGUCCACUUGAAAGAGAGAAAAAAAGAGAGAGAUGAAAGUGGCCUUAGGAUGAAAGGAAUAUGAGGCCAUUCCAUUUGGGAAGAGGAAGAGGAAGAAGGAAGGGGUUGAGUGAGAUUUGAUUCACUUCAAAUUGGAACCACAAAGACAAGGAAAGCCCUCUCGGUUGAAGGCCAACGGCAAUCCCAUGUGCUUGCAUUUAUGCCUUCACAUUUGUAGGACCAAUUUCCCUAAAACCUCCCCCUACUUACAAAACCUUUCUCCUUCCCUAUCAAUUUUAGGUUUUUUUUUUUAAUAUAUCAAUCGUACAAUUCAGAUAGAACCUCUUAUCUCAACAAUCAAAACGUCAUAUCAAGUACCAUUGGGCUAAGUUUACUUUAGCAUCUAAGUUUUUGUUUACAAUACUAAUUUUGGUGACAAUGUAAUUACUCUACUUUACAACAACAUUAUUUCAGCGUUAAAAACACUUUUUGUUUCUCAAUUUUCAAGAAAGUAACAACUUAGUGAAGGUAUAAAAGUCUUUAGCGGUGGAAGACAUUACAUAACUAUAAACUCAAAUUUAAUUAAAAAAUUCUACAUUGACAAUACAGAGAAACAAACCUACUGUAAGAUUAAAUAGAGCUAAACAUGAAAGAAAAUAAAGAAGAUUUGAAACUUUUUGUCAUUGACAUCUCUAAAUCCUAGAAAUCACUAAAUUUGUUGUUGAAUGUUCGUAACACAAAUUGUGUUAAGUUAUUGUUUUACCCCUUGGUUACUUCUUAGUUCUUAAACAGAAGGAAUAUGUUGUUGUCUACUUAAAUUACUUCAAAACUAACUUAUAAAUGUAAUAGUGAUUAAUUUGUUUGUAGGGGGAAAGGCUAACAAGGUGGGUUUAGGGGUGAAUGAGUGAGAGUAAUUCCCUAAAAAGUUCCAACAACCCUAUUGUAGUUCACUUAGCACAUUUUAAUUGUGACAUUAUGUCACUUAAAUCUUUAAUCAAGUCAACUAAGUUAAUUACAACAGCAAAAACAAAUUAGUGAGAAAAAUUGUGGAAAGUUGAAGAACCAAAUUGGUAGCUUUAUUUAUUUUUAUGAAAAAUAAAAGAAUUUAAAAUAGGAAGGGUUGGUUGGGCGGGCCUAUGGCAGCAGCUACAAGCAUUUGCAAUUACUUUUCUUUCAUAAACUCAUUUUUGGAUAUGAAGCCCAAGACAUUUCAAAAGUGAAUCUGGGCCUACAGAGCCCAGCCCAUGUAGAGUUCAUCAAGGGAAUGAAGAUGGAAAUGAGCGUUUAACCCUCUUUGUUUGUUAGGGACAUCUCAUCAGAACAGCCAACAAAACAAGUUUUAUUUUUCCUCCCCUUUAAUAAACCUUUUUAAGUUUUAUUUACGUAUAAUUGUAAAAGAUUAUAUGCAUGAAAUUGAGAGUUAUGAUUUAAUUUUAGAUUUGAAAGCUUUUGUAAAAUGAAAUUGAAUAGAAAUUAUUGUGAGUUAAAGAGUUUCCCAGAUCCGCAGGUAAGAGGUUGGUUAUAGGGACCCACAUCCAUACCAAUUCCAACUUUAUUAUAUAAUAAUAAAUAGUAAAUAUUUGGUCUUAAUUUUUCGAAAAUAGAAAAUUCACCAAUUUUAGAUGCCUUUCUUUCCCAUUCACUUUCUCAAAUUAAUGCUCCCUUUUCUAUUUUCUAUCCUAAACAAAUUCAUUCUUAUUCGGUCUUUUUUAUUCUUUUAACAUUUUAUUUUUUUUAUCACCUCAUCUAUUUUGUCUCUUUUCACUACUAACUCUCCAUCUCUCUCUCUCUUCAAUUAUUUAUAUAUAUAUGAAAAUAUAUUACCAAAAAUUUAAAAAGAAAAAAAAAAUCGACAAGACAAAAUGUCACUCAACAUUUAGGUUCACUCAUCUCUUUUGCCUAACGUUUUAUAUGAAAGAGAUGUGCUUAAGAUGUGACAUCCACACCUUAAAUGUAAUACCUCCCCGGUAGUUUACAAAAUGUCGUAACUAUACUAAUUCAAUUGGUAUAAUAUUUGUACGACUAUUACAUACUCUUAAAGUUAAAAUAUUCGAAUUCUCUUAAAAAUUUAUAGAAUAAAGUUAUGUUAAAUAGUAAUGACUCUAUUAAAUGUUUUAAUGAGAUUGAUAGUUUGAGAAUAUUGAAUUAGGGUAGAAAUGUUUGAAACAAAAAAAGCUAUGAAAGGUAGUAAUGAACGAUAGUUUUUUUAGAUAAAACAAUUAAUAAUACUUAUGAUAUUAAUUUGAAUAGGAAGAUCCCUUAGGGCUCUUUAAAUGUUUUUAAAAAAUCACAUUUUUUUAAAAUAGUUUAAAUUCGUGUUCGCUUUACAUUCGUGUUGAUUUAUCAUAGCUUCAAACUUUGGUAUUUGGCGGAUGAACUCAAUUUAGCUCAAAUAACUCUUAUUAUCUAUGAUAAUUUUGAGUUUUAGUUGUAAUAUUAAUAAAACUACAAAAAUUUGUCGACUUUUUUAAAAUAAUUUUUCUAAUAUUAAAAUAUUAAACUAAACCAAUAAUUUGAAUUGCUUUGGUUGUUAAUCUCCCUAGAUCUUGUUUAUCUCUACAUACAUUCUUGUAUAUACAUUUUAUAAUUUCUAUAAUUUUUAAAAAAUUAUUAACAUUCAUAUCUAUUAAAAUUAAAACAUACUAAAAUUAAAACAUACUAAAGUACUCAUAUCAAUAGAUCAAAGAUGCACCUAUUUUGAUGUAGCACUUGCAUCCACUAUACACAUAAGGAAUAAAGAAUUUAAAUAUUUUAAAAAAGAAGUUAGAAGAAUUCUCCACUUGAAAACUUUAUGAUUGAACAAUAUCGUAGAAUGUUUUUCUUACAGUUAGUUUGGAUUCCAAAAAGUUUUAAAUCUUAUGAUUUGAAAUCCCAUAAAUGAUUUACUUUGUUUGAAUUAAAAUGAGAAAGAUUUGGAAUUGAUGUAUUUAAAAUUUGAUGUUGGGAUGGUAAUUGAAAAGGAAAAUAAAGUUAAAAAUUUACUAAUAUUAUCUUUUAUGUAAGAAUUUGUUAAUUGAAAAUUAGAAAAUGAUGAAAUGAAUUAUGUAAUUUACUUUUUGAAAUGACGUGAAAUCAAACCAUUUAAGCCAAUUAAACUUUUAAAUUAAAAAAAAAAACAAGAUUUGAAAUCAUUUUGAAUUUGCUUUUUAUGUGAUAGCAAACAACAAAACUCAUUUAAAAUCCAUUAUAAAUUGAAAAUUAUAAAAAAUCAUGCUAUUUCUAAGUGAGGAUUAAUUAGAUGGAUGCUCUUUCAAUUUAGAGAAUUAGUUAGAAUAUUAUACAUAAAAGAUAAAAAAAAUGGGUCAGGUAUAAUUUUGAGUGAGAAGUGAGAAUCAAAAUUAUGGAUAAGUAUAGGGUUAAGUAAAAAAGAGAAUUAAAGCAACGUAGAGAUUCCUACCCUCAAUUAUGUUCAAAGAUGAGGAUAAUUGACUUUCUUUUUCCCUACUACAAAAUAUGAAAAUACACUAUUUUGUGUUUGAAUGUGUUCAAUUUUUCUUCUUCUUCUUUUUUUCUUUUUUUUAAUGUAAUUUUUUAUCCUAAAUGGUCCUAGGUAGAAUAAAGCAUAUAAUUCAGGAGUGAAAUUUGUGGCCCCAACCAAAAUUCCAUAUACUCUGUCAUUGCAUGGGACUGCAAAAAAUAAUACUCUAAUAAAUUAUUCGUAAUCCACAUAUCAUUUAAUUACCAAAAUAAAGCUUAUGUUAUUAAAGAGUAAAAAGUAUAUAAUACAUUGAACAAUAUUGGUUAUAUACUAAUAUGAAUGUUUCUAUAUAUAAAUACUAAUACGAGUAUGUGUGAUUAUAGAUAAGCCAUGUGUAGCAAUGAACAUAAGGUUGAUGACAAGUGGUAGCAAAGGAUUGAAGUAUGAGCGAAGUAAAAUCCAAGUCUCAUAGAAAGCCAAUCAAAUCCACUCAAGUUUGGCAAAAAUAAUUUUAUUCAUAAUGAUGAAGUUUAGUGGAAUUAGUCAAACCAAGUUAGAGAUUUAAGUGGGUGGAAAAUCCAAGUGAAUAUUGGUUCAAACAUUAUUGUAAGUUUGAUAAAUUAGAAAAGAGGAUUCAAAUAGUAUCAUUUGAAUUUUAUAGUUUAAUACAUGGAUGGAAAUUGGAAAAUUUUGAAAUAUUCACAUGGAAGCAAGAUAUUAAGAAGCUAAAUGAGAAUUGAUUUAAAUCGUGCUUUUGAAAUAAUGAAUGGGAAAUUAGGAAGGAGCCAUGAAAUGAAAUGAAAAGAAAAGAAAGAAAGAAAGAAUGAGCUUCCCUCAGCCACGUGAUCUCCAUGUGCCUAUUUGGCUUAGUUUCAUCAAACAAAGCCCCACACCCCUUCAUCAAACAUCUUCCCUUUCUCACAUCUCUCCUUAUCAACACUUUUUUUUUUCUCUCUAAUUAAUUAUCAAAUUUCUUAAUACUUUAAAUAAUAAAUAAAUAAAUUAUUAUUAUUAUCUAAGUUUUAAAAGUAUAAAAUAUUCGUAAACAUAAAUUUCAAAACCGAAAAGAUUAUCAAACUCAAUUGUAACGAAUAAUUUUAAGUUUUAGAACAUUUGAGACUUGUAACUUUGAGUAAGCAAGUUUGAACUUUUUGACCUCUUUAUCCUUAUCUGAUUAAUUACAUAAAUCUAUUCAUUUUUUAUUUCAAGGAGUAGAGGUUUACCAAAACCUUGCAAUUGAUGAACCUUACAAGCUACUCAUUCUUUAAACUCUCUCUUGUGACAAUUUGUAAUGUUUCAAAAGCUAUGGAAUCAACUUUAAGAAAGUAAUUUGUAUGUCACUAUCACAUAAUAAAUUUAUUUUAUUUUACAUUUAUUUCUUAUAAAGUUUAGAGGGGAGUGAUAACGACUUUAAAUGAAAUUAUUUUCUUAAAAAAAAAAUCAAAAUUUUAAUAUUCUUUUAUAGUUCAAUUACAUUAGAAAAAUCAAUAUUUAAUAUUAUUAUCUUAACCAAUCGAAUCAUAAAUAAGUUUACAAUAAUUGUGAAAAAGGAGAAUCAAACUUUUCACCGUUUGAAAUGAAAGGUAUGUCAAUUCUUGCUUAACUAAGCUCACUUUGACAAUUAACAAUCAAUUGAAUUUUGUCAAUUAAGUCAUCAUUAUCAUAUUAUAUACUUCUAUAUUAUAAAACUCCAACUAUAUACAUUAGCAUAGUAGUUUUAGAAACGGUAGAAAAUAUAGCGAUUAGAUUCAAAAUAUUAACAUUUUUUAAAAAUUUUGAUCUUAGAUAAGAGUUUAUUAGGGAUAAGACUUCGCAAUAUUUGUAAUUUAAAAAAAUGUUAUUACACACGUGAUUAUUAUUCCUUUUAUCCUAAACUUUAUCCUAUAAUGAUAUUAUCUCAAACCAUGUUUUUAUAUGCAAAUUUAGAUAUAGAGAGGAGAUUCAGUUCAUCCUUCCAAUCUAAAAUUGCAUCUCACAGAAUUGCUGCAAAAUAAAGUGAACAAGUGUUUCCAUUGAUUUAAAAUCUUAAAAUUUAUGGAAAUUCUAAACUACCCUUCUAUGGAAAAUUUCACUCCAAUGUAUAACAGUUGAAUUAAGAUAGACAAUGUUAUAAAAUAAGUGUUGAGAAUCAAUGUGUAAGACUCUCCAAGCUCGUCCUACCAAUACAAUUUGUUUGUUUGUUUUUGUUUCCGUUAGGAAAAUUCUAACAAGUCCAUGAACAAAUAACAUAACAAUCAAAUUUGUACAGCUCUAACAGCUCUAGCUAACAAAGUCAAAUAUAUAAUGCGCACAUAAAUUAGCACUCCCAAGAAUUGAUACCACUUUGUUCAUUAUAAACACAUCACAAAAGAAAGUUGCUUAGCACCACAAAUUUAACUAUUAUAUACAAGUUAUAUACUUUCUAAUAAAGUAAUGAUGAACUUAUAAAAAAAUCAGUUACAUCAUCCUCUUUUCUUUUAGAAUUCUCAUAUCUAUUGAGAACAAAUAUUCUUCUACCUAUUGAGAACCUUUAAUUUGAAGAAAGUGAAGCCAAAUCUACCAUAGUAUAAAAAAUUUGGUCUAUAUUAGCAUGUUUUGUUGGCAUAGUCACAUAACUAAAUUUAAGAUUUAUGGAGAGCUAUGACUAAAUUUGACCAUUUGAAAGUACACACUUGAAAUGAAACCAAAUUAAAUUAUAGAAUCUACUUUGUAAGUGAAACCCAUUAGUGACUAAUGUGAGGGAAGGAAAGGCAUUGUAAUCUUGAAACCAUAUCAACCUAGGACAUCAAAUCUUACACAGACAAAGCUUUUGGCUGGAACAUUUGCCGCUGGUCCAAAACCAAAGUGACAACUUACUUUAACUUUUGAAGUUGAAAGGAAAUGAAAAAAGAAAAAAAUGGAAGAGUAAGAAAGAUUUUGUGCUCAGAAUCAGCAUUUAUUUAUGUUGUCUAAUCUUAGAUUAAUCAGGGAUCAGGUACCAUUACAGGGUAGUUUUUGUCUCUGUUCCUUUUAUCUCAAUUAAUAAAGCAAAACCCCAAUUUCCUUCUAAUUAUUGUCUACCCCCAUCCCUCCCUCUUUAGGCUUUAUGUAUAAUAUACCCAUUCUUUUGAUGUUAAUUUUCUUGUCCAUAUUCUAAAUUCUACUCAAAUCUCUCUUUUACUUCUAUUCAAAUACCCCCCCACCUUCCCUCAAUAAUUUUCUUCUUCCUCUCUUGUUUGGCCAAGAGGAAAAAUCUUUCUUGGGAGUUCUUGGUUUCUAAGAGGAGACUUGGGUUUUGUGAGGCUAAGAGAGUUUCAGUUCUUUUGAUGUUUUAUCCUGGUUCUUCUCAGAAGAUUCUCCAUGGGAAACCAAGCCUUUUGCAGCCAUGGAUACUGUUCUUUGACAUGCUCUUGUAUUUUGGUUUUUUGAGUGACUGGUAAGAUGCUUUGAAACUUCCUUAGAAUCCUAAAAGCUGUUUGAUUUAACUCUCAAAGAAUCAUCAUUCAUCAUCCUUUCUAGUUGAAGGCAGAUCAGGAAGAAUCAAAACAAAGCCCCCCUUUUUACAAUUGAGCUUUGAUUGAGGUCCUGAGAAGAGAGAGCUAGAAGGUGUGAACAGAGAACACAAGGGUUUUAUUGGUACAUGAGUGGAUAUGAAUUUCCUACUUUAAGUCUCUAUUAUGAAGCGAUUCAGCCAUCAAAGAAUUAUAGGGUUCUGAAUUAUCAAGUUUCACUGUAGAAUUUCAUCAACCAGGUUCAAGAUCUAAAAGUGAAUUACCUGACAGAACCAAUCCUGUUGUUGCUUUGGAGUAAUUAGCAGCUCCUAUGAGGAUGGAGUCCAAUCACCACCGUCCGCGUCCCCCUCGCCUCCUCCUCGACCCCGACACGACGGCACCACCGUCAAAUGGAAGCAGAACGCGAAAUUCAUAUAACAAUGAAGCCAAUUUCGAUACAAACAUGGUGAUAAUUCUUGCCGCGUUACUCUGCGCACUGAUUUGCGCUCUAGGAUUGAACUCAAUCGUCCGGUGCGCCCUCCGCUGCAGCCGACGGUUCGCCUUCGAAACAGGCGGCGGCACAGCCUCGCGUCUCACCGCUACAGGGCUAAAGAAAAGCGCAUUACGCCAAAUCCCGGUCGCCGUGUAUGGGUCGGAAACAGGCCUAGAGAUCCGAGAAACGGAUUGCCCUAUCUGCCUAGGAGAUUUCAUGGCCGGCGAGAAAAUAAAAAUACUCCCGAAAUGUAACCACGGAUUUCACGUUCGAUGUAUCGAUACCUGGUUAGCUUCCCACUCAUCAUGUCCGACAUGUCGUCAAUCACUGCUGGAACAACAAUCCGUUUCGGAAUCGGCGGUAACCGAGGCGGGUAAUCGAGGCGCCGGAAAUUCAUCGGCUAGCGGGCAAGGUGAGAUCUCGAUAACCGUAGAUGGAAUUACCUGAUUUCAAGGCUUUGCAUUUUGUUUCCAUUUGCACAUAAAUAUUCUUUAAUUGUUUUCAGUUUUUUUCUUAGCGUUUUUUAAGUAAUAAUAAUCUGGAUUAUACACUAAUUAAUACAAUUAGUGCUUAAUUAUGAGUUAUGUAUAAUAAAUAACCGCAUAAAUUGCAACUUUUUUUUUUUUUUUUUUGAAAAAUUUAGGUUAAACUUUUUUCUUUUACCACACAUGUUUGAGUGAGGAUUUUAACCUCCACUUCAUUUGAUAUAUUUUAUCUCAUUUUUCUCGUUAAAUUAAAUAUAUGAUUACUACAUUUUUAUCCUAUAGUCACUUUAUAUGUCUUACCGUUAUAGAUAAAUGUUGUGUUUUUAAGGGAUUGAGAAGUUGGCAUUGAUGAUUAUCCUCAAAUUACUUCACCAACAAGGCAUAAUUCCUACUUGUACAAAUAUUUAAUAAUUGUCCUGGUUCAUCCUUGUUUCAAUUUAAUUUGAGUAACAUUUCAUAUUAAAUAAACUAACAAAUUGAGAUCAAGUGAACCAACAAUAUUAUAUCUUACUCACUAAUAUUUAUUAGUUAAAUUAAUUUGAUUUUAUUAGUUUCUUAAAGAAAAAGAUGACAUUAUAAUGGCUAAUUAAGGUUGUUAGUAACCACGUGCAUUUGUAAUUAAAAAUUAUGUUAAUCUUAUUUAAAUUGCUGCCAAAUCUAAGAAUUAAAUACAUUUUUUUCCAUAGACUACUUCAAACAUAGGCUAGGCUUAGGUAUAUAUUUAUUAAGUUUAAAGUGUGUGUAUAUGUAUAUAUAUAUAGAGAGAGAGAUGUAUAUUUGUUAUGUUACAGUUUUAAUUAUGGCACACAUUCAUAUCUCUCUCCCCAUUAUUGUACUCAACAAAAGUAACCUUAAUUUAUUUUUACAAUUUUGAAGAAAGUUAGUUUGGGCAAUAAAAGAGUUUUUUGCCCUCUAGAGUUGAUUAAUUUAUAUAUUUACCAUAAAAUGAAAACCAAGCACUAUGUGAUGUUUUAAGUAAUUGAAUUAUGUUGAUCAUAUAUUUGUUUUUUUUUUUUUUAACAGAGAUAAUUUAAAAAGUGUGUUGUUUAUCAAUAUAUUGUAUAUGAGAUCUACUCAAAUCCAUAAUCAAUAAACGAAAUCUUUAAAUGUGUAGCUGAAAAUAAUUGAAUCAAUUGUGUUUAAAAAUUACCUCAACUCACUCACUUUUUUCAUGUACUUUUAUACACUUUCAAUUUUUGUCUUCAAAUGUCAAAAAUCAUUCUAAUUAACCUUAGUCAAGACUAAUAAGGAUAACAAAACAAUAAUACAAGAGUAAACAACCUCAUCAAAUUAUACUUGCAAAUUGUGUUAACUAAAUGUGACUAAAAAUUAACAAUCCAAUUGAUUGCUCUACUAAUGAAAACUCGAUAAUAAUUGAAUUGUUGUGAUAUUGAAAAAGAAAGAAAGACUUCGUGGGAAUGAAAGGGUGUGGAGAGAAUUUUUGAGUUGAUAUAAGAUGUGACAGAUCCUUAUAAAGAAUAAACAAUAUUAGUAGACAUAGUUAGAGUAGAUGAUGUAGAAUAGGCUUUGUAGAAUUAAUAUGAAUUUAAUGUGGUUAGGUGAGUAGAAAUGUGUCAUUUAUAAGAGGUAAAUAAUUUAAGUAUAAGCAUUGAUUAAAACAAAAUGGAAAAAAAAGGGUCCACAAAACAUAAAUGGGAUGGGGGAAUUGAAUGAUGAAGUUUAAUUGAGAAAGGCAAUUCCAACCAUACUUCUUUCUCUUUCUCUUAACCAAAGGAGAAACCCAAACUGCCAAAUUAAAACAACUUUAAAAUUUAUUAACUUUCCAUGGCUUCUUUUUUGGAAUUUUGUUAUUUUUAAUGCUCAUUGCCCCCCAAAAAAAUCAACUAUGUUUUCAUUUUUUUUCUCUUUUAGGACAACAAACGCAAAUGCAAAACCCAACCAUAAAAAGAAAGAGAAGAAAAGCAUCAAAAUGAGUCUUCAAACCCAUGUCGUUUACUAAUGAAAAUUACGAGCAUGAGUAGCUAACUCACGUGCAAAAAAGUUACAUCUACGAUUACCCUAGCGAAAACCAAAUACGAAACCUAUGUUAUCAAAAUAGUAAUAUUAGAAGUUGUCUUUCUUCCAUUACCAAAGUUUCAAUAUUUAUCAUUUACUUUUUUUUAUCAUUAUUAUUAGAUGACUAAAUAGUUAUUUAUGAAAAUGGAAUGAGCUUCCACCAUAAAGAUCAAAAGUUUAAGGCUCUUCAUUACGUAGUUGUUGUAUUUUUUAAAAAAAUACUAAUAUAAAUAUGUAGUUUGUAUAUUAUUUUAGGUUGCACGUCUCAAUUAUUAUAUAUAGUAGAAAAAUAAUAAGGAUUCAUAUGUACAUGUAACAACUAACACUUUAUACUAAACUAAGAUCAUUACCUAACAAUUUUACAGUUUUCUGAAGAGAGGAAAUUAAAUCUUUAAUUAAAAAAAACUUUCAACAAUUGUUGAGGAAACAUAAUUUGACGAAAUCCGUAAAAAUAUCAUGAAAACAAGCUCGAGCUGGUUCUAACUAAUUUUAAAGAAUAUAAUUUUUUUUAAAAAAAUAAAUAAUUAAAAUGUUUAAAAUCGAAAAGAUUGAAAACUAAUAAAUGAAAAGUGGAAACAAAACUGAGUCCCCAUAUGACAUGUCACAGACUCUUCUUGUUGCUUGCCAGCUUUCCAUUUUCUUUACAUAUUGGUCUCGCAAGGUGAUCUGUUAACUUUUCGUUAGGAGUACCAUAAAAUAAUAAUAUCAUGUGUAUGGUGGAAGACACCUAAUCUAAUGAUCUCUUAGGAACACUCAUAGUCUGAUAAUUUCGAAGGAACAUACAACAUAUUGAGCUGCAUGUAAUCCUGCCAGACCACAUAUAGAGACUAACAGAUUGGUGAUCCCGUCAUAUGCACACUAUCAUAAAGUUGUAUAAGGUGGUGAUCCCAAGGGACACUGUACAUGUGGAAUACCCGACCUAACAACUAAAGUUAAUAGACACCACAACCCAAAAGCAUGUAACAAUCAUCAUAAACAUGACAUGAAACAUUGUUUAUAAUCAUGUAAUCCAUAAAACAUCCAUAGUCACCAUAAUACAUUAGGCAUUAACUACAACAUCUCAUUAUGCAUUUUUAGCUACCAUCAACAACCCAAUUAAACAGUUAACAAAAAUUUAAAUAACUUAAAUUAAUAAAAUUAACAAUGGCAAAAAAGUUCCACAAAUCAAGUUUCCAAAGUUAACUAAUUGAACUGUGAAGGAAAAAAUUCAAUUAGAACUAAAAUUGCAAAAAAUUAUCAUUUUAUGGGUAUAUCCAAAACCCAUAAAAAAUGCAUCAAAAUCUUACAAAAGGUAGCUAAAAAAACUAAAAUCCGCUUGGCUUGGGAGGAAGAGGCACAACUUCACUCAACUCGAAAAGAUUGGCUCGGUGAGGGACGCAUGACUAAGAGGAGGCCCUUUGGCUUGCGUCGGCUCGGGUGGAAGGAUGUGCGACUGAGCGGCGUGGGACGAAAGCCUGUUCGUUUCGUGUAAGGGGCUCGAUUGACUUGUGAAUGCUACUGCUUGAACAGAAAGCACAGUUUACUAUAUUUUGUAAAUAUGUUAUGAAGUUUAUCAUUUUUGACAAUUUCUCUAAUUAUUAUUAUUGUAUUAUCCUUUUUCCUAAUAUUUUUUCAAUAAAUUAAUUAAAAUCUCAUCUCUUCCCUCGAUGGAGAACAUAAUUUUGAAAGCACCAUAAUCUCAUGGUGAACAUAUGCUAAACAAUAGAACACAUAAAACACGAUAUCUUAAAAAAAAAGAAAAAAGAAGAAGUAAAUUCUAAUUUUAUCUUUUACAAGAGGAAACAAUAUAAAUGAUUAUUUUACUAAUUAUAAUAUUUUAUAAAAAAAAAUUAGAUACAAAAAAUAAAUAAAUUUUACAUAUAUCACAUGUGGUAUAAGUUAGUGUAUAUAUAAAAAAAAUGUCUGAAGUAACAUGUAAUAUAUUAGAUGAUGAGAUUUAUUUUUAAUUAAGCAGAUGUAUGAAGUUAAAGUAAUUGAUAAAUCAAGUUGUUAUUUUUAUAAUUAUUUUGAUAUAUAUAAACAAAAAUGGAUAUAGUAAUAGCCUAAUAAUUGAGAUGAAUCCCCACAAGUAAAAAGUGGAAAUUUCAAUAUUUUCAUAAGAGAAUCAUUAUUUAAUAUAUAUUCCUUCUCCUCAUGGAAUGUGACAAAGCUAAUCAACCAAAAAAAAGUACAUCACAAUGCUUUGUGCUAAUGUACCACAAGUUAAUUAUAUAUAAUUCUUCCCCUCUUAAAAAAUAAAGUUUAUAUAAUUCAUUAAAUUUGUGACCAUACAAAAAUAUGUGUAACAAAUUUGCAAUAUAUAGUACAAAACAUUUAGAAUACAAUUAUUAAAACAAUAUGCUUGGUUCAAAAAAGUUAUUCAAAAAGACAAAUCAUGGUUGUUGAUGAAUCUUGCAAAGAGAGAAAAUGUUGUUCCUUUUUUUAAAAAAAAUAUCUUUUCUAAUGUUAUUCCUUCCUUCUAAUAUUAGACAAUUUGAUUGAAUUUGAGGAAUAAAAUUUUUUUCUACAAAAUUAUUAAUUGAAGAAGUGGGAGGAUUUUUAAUUUUGUAAAGAAUAUAAAAUUAUUAUUAAUAAAUGUGACGUUAAUUAUUGUUAAACUAAGUUUGAUAAAUUAGGGAGAUAACUUGAGUUGGCUAGCAAUUAUUGAAAAAUAAUAAUCAUCAUUUAUAGAAAAUGAAACUCGUUGUGAGUUGACUUUAGAAUCAAGGUAAAAAGAUUUAAAAGAAAAAAACAAAAGAAGAUUGGAGUAAGAGACUCGAGAACAAACUAGACCUUAUCUAUCUGCCUCUGUUGGGUUGUGGUUGAGUUUCUUAUGUUAGCUUGAGAGGUAGAAACGAAGCAUAGAAUAGACCUAGCAUGCCUAGUUUCAUAAUUAUAUUGAAGAGAUGUAGAUCGCGAUCCCAUUAAGGGCAAGACAAGAAGCAAACUAAAGAAUAUAAGUCUGCAAAUUCCAAUUAUCAAAACAUACGGGACUUUAAUUGCAAACUAAUUAAAGAGGGUUAAAUUUAAUACUAAUAAACUACAAUAGUAUAACUCACAAAAUAGUUAUACUUACAUGGCUGUUGGAUAUAUAAAAUACAUUGUAGGUGAAUGACUUUAGGACAAAAACAACAUAUAACAAAAGAAAUUUUGAAAAGGAAGAGAAUCUUCAAUUAUAAGAAUGAGAAAAAAUAAAAAACUUUCCUAAAAGUUAGAAUUUUAUUUAAAAAAUAUGAAGUUUGACUGUUUGCUAGCCUUAUUUAUUUAAGAAAUUAAAAAAAAAAAACCUUAGUUAUUUAGGGCUCAUGUGGUAACGUUCUCGUUCCCUUUUUCUUGAAAAAAUAGAAACGUUAUCCAUUUUAUAAGGAAUUGGAUAAUUGUAAUGGAUGACCAUUUGAGGAAUAAUAAUUAAGGAUAUAGCAACAUUUAAAAAAAAUUGCAAAUAUAGCAAAAUUAUCGUUGAUAGACUUGUAUCACGGAUAGAUUCGUAUGAUCUAUCGGUGAUAGACCAAUUUAGGUUUGAUAAAGUGAGUGGUAUAAUGUUUAAUUGAUUUAGAUGUAAAUAAAAUAGCAUGAAUAAAAUAAAAAAUAAAUCUCAAAGAAAAGAAGAAAAGAAGAAAAAGUUAUCAAAUACAUUUUCUAUUUUUUUUUCAAGAAACAAUAUCAAUUAUCAAACACAUUUAUGAUUCUUAUUCUAAAAAAUAAGAAGAAACAAAAAACAUGAAAUUGGGAACAAGAAAUAGAAAAUAGAAACAUUUUCAAACAGGUCGUUAAUGAAAUAUUUUGAAAAUAAAAGUGAGUGUACUUUUUUAUGUUAUUUUAAAAAUCCAAGAUUUAUGUAUAUUGAAAAAAAAAAUCAAAUAAUUCAAGAUGUUGCUUCCAUGGUUAGUUUGCUAUUUUAACUAAAAAUUCAUUAAAUCUAUAUUUGGUAGAAUUUGAGCAAUAUUCCAGAUAUUCAAGAAUAAAGAACCAAACUUGUUUGUAUUUUUUUCAAAGUAAAACUAUCAAAUUCUAUUCGAAUAUACAUUAAAAAUAAAAAUAAAAAUAAAAAUGAAUCUAAUCUAAAAUAUAUAUUAUGUAUUUAAUUAAUUAGAUAAUUCCAAAUUAUUAUUAAAAAUAUAUAUAUAUAUAUCAUAUAUUAUUUAAUUAUAAAUUACCGAUUAGUAAAUGGUUAAUGAGAUAACGAACAAUAUUUGUAAUAUUUGCCAUGCAGUUGUUGUAAUAUCUCGUCCAACAACAAAAUUACCAUAUCUCCCUCAAGUUGGAUUUAUUAAUUUUUUCUUUUUUUUUUUGCUAUUUUCGCAGAUGUUAUCUCUAAUUUUGCUUUCUAAAAAAUCUUUCAAUUGACCAAAGCAAACAAAAUCGAGAUAAAUGGCAAAAUCCAAGUUUUAGUUUGGACAAAUAAGGAAGAACAAAGAAAUGCUAAUUUUAAAAAUGACAAAAACCAAAAAAUUAAUAGAAUAAAAAAAGAAGAAGGGAAAUUGUGAACCACAGCUACCAUGAAAUGUUCCACCCCGACUCAGUUGCUCGUUUCUGCCAUGGAUUGUGGUUGCAGUUUCUCGUUUCUACAAACUUGAUUUACAGUUGAUUGUACAUAGAUUUUGAAUUAUUUGUAUUUGAUCCUCUAUACCAAAUAAAAUCAACUUACUUCAAAACUGUUUGAAAUACAUUCUAUUUUUAUACUUUCUGAUUGCAAAUUAUAUAAAUUUAACUUAUAUCAUGAUCAUCAUACAUCUAUUAGAAUUGUAUCUGAUGUGUUCUACAAGAAGAAACAAACCCCUAAAAACAAACUUGAUUUUUAUUAUACUUUUCAAUUGCAAAUCAAUCAUCAAAGUUUCUAUAUAUUACAUUUGAUUCAAAGACUGUAUACAACCAAAAGCUACCGUCCAGUUAAAUUUAAUGAUAGAGGGAAGGAUAUUGAAGUAUAAAAUAACAAAUCAAAAUCAAAAUGGUGAUAAACAAACUAAAGAUGGAUUAAUGCUAAAUAUUUUUUCGAAACCGUCCAUUAUUCAAAUUUCAAACUUUAGUUCCUUAUCUUUUGAUCCUAUUCGAUUGGAAUCUACUAAGAAAAUACAUCAUGUGACCAUACCACAUGUAAAUUGUGGUUUGUAAAAGUAUAUUUCAUCUUCUUCUGUGCCACGUGUACAGCUUUUUUUUCUUUCUUUCUAAAAUUAAUUAAAAAAAAGGUGUCGUGUGUGAGAAAUAAAUAACUGCUGACAGUAUAUAUUCAACAUUUUACAUGUUUUUUAUAAUUACUUUUUAGAACAAAUUUCAUUUGAAUUUGUUUUGAUUUGAUCUACAAACUCCAAACAAUAUCAUUUACGUAUUUCAUUUUGGUCAUAUUAAACAUUCAUUUUAAGUUAACACAUUGCAUAUUUUGCAUGUUAAUUAAAAAGACAAUAAUACUAGAUACAACAACUUAAUGUGUUUAUACCUUGUGAUAUUUAAGUUACCUAAUCUAUCAUAUUUUGUAAUAUUUAUUUGCUAAAUCUUUAGAGAUGUGCUUUUAUAUAUAUAUAUAUAUAUAAUGUUUAAUUUAUUUAGUUUUAAAAGUGCAGUAUUUUAAUAAAUAUUUUAGAAAAGUGAAUAUGGUUAACUAACCAUUAAUUACCACAUUUUUAGGUGAGGAAUUAAUUAUUAAGAGUUAACAACUUUGAUUGGAGUAUUGUUGAACAGUGAGGGAAUGAGGUCAAUUCAUUCCUAAAUAUAUCAUGAUCCAAUUUUUUUAUCUAAAUAAUCAAAGGGUAAUUAUUAUUAUGUAUAUUUAUAUUUGAAUAUAUAUUGAUAUACAUAUCUAUUAUCUGCCACCUUUCUAGAUAAGAUCAUAAAUAAAUUAAUUAUCAAAUCGGUGUUAAUCAUUUUUAAUCCACUGCAUUUAAAUUGCCUUCCUGUAUAAAUUAUAAUUAUAUUAAUCCAUUUUCAUUAAAUCAAUAUUAAUACCAUUUUUUAUUAAAUACAUUUGAAAAAAAAAACUCAAUUUUGCAUUUAUCAAAUUAUAUCCUUAAACGAGUAUUUAAAUUUUUUGUAAUUCAAUUUCUCCUAAUUUAUGGCCUAUUGUUAACAAAGAAAAGUUAAUAAAAAUAUUCACGAAAAUGCCAAAAUAAACCGAACUCAAGCUAGUGAGAGUGUGUAAGUUUGUAUGUUGUUAGUUUGUUGGCCAAUUCGUCACUAAUCCAAAGAUGCAAAUUGGAGAAUUCUUCAAACACUUAAAUUUCACUUCUCAAAAUAUUUUCAAUUUAGUCUUUGAUUUCUAUGGCGAUUUUAGGUUUCUCCUCUCUUUUGAAAGCACACAAACUCUACAAAAAUUUGCAUGGAUCAUAUCCCACCCCUUGGAAAGUUAUACACAAUAAAAACCAACCUCCUGCCUCCAAUCCUAAGUGUGAUAAGUGGUUUGAUAGAAAACAAGCCCUAAUUACUCUUCUAAAUACAACGCUAUCUUCAAAUGCUUUUGCAUAAGUGGUUGGUUGUGGAACCGCAUAGGAAAUAUGAGAGAUGCUUGACAAACAUUUCUCCUCAUCACCACGCACGAACAAAUAUAGUAAAUCUCAAAGACCGAGUUGAAAUCAGUUACAAGGAAGUUAAGGCAAAAUAUUGAUUCCUAUAUUGGUCCAAUUAAAGAGUUGGUAAACAAGUUGGUUGUUGUAUAGGAUGAUUCAAAAAAUCUAAAAAUCUAUACUAUGCAACAAGAUCAGGCAAUUAAGUUCAAUGAACUACAUGCCAUGUUAAAUAUUGAAAUAUUUUCUUGAAACGGAAUCUAAAGUUGCAAUGAUGACAAACUUUGUAAUCGUUACUCACAACGAAUGAAGAAACGAACCUAGUGAGGUAAUUCAAGAACAACCAAAUUAUAUUCUUCAAAUCAAUCGAAUUCUUAACAAUUUCACUCAAAUCGAUCCUUUGAUUAAAAUCUCAUAAACAACAAAGUUCAUUGUCAAGUUUGCACAAAGUUUGGCCAUACGACUCUUGAUUGUUACAAUAGAAUGCCUACGUGGUCACAUCUACGAUCUAUCGCAUAGAGUAGAUAGAGUAGGGUGUGAUAAGAGCUCUACACCAUCUUACUUUAUUAGACCUAAUUUGUCAUUUGUUGGCAGAGUAAUUCAAUUUAUGCACAGUCCAACUUUUAUUCAACUUAGAAUACGUCAAAGGGACUUUAAAAGCGGGUACUAAUUUUAAGAAAGGAUCAUUUGCUCUAUCUGCCUACUUAGACUCUAACGGACUGAAGAUAAGUCAAAUCGACAAUCAACAACUAGUUUUACUAUAUUUCUUGGCUCUAAUUCAGUGUCUUGAGUGUUUAAGAAACAAUAGAGUGUUUCAAGUGUUUCAACAAGCUUUAUUGAAACAGAAUAUUGAGCAUUUGUAUGUAUUUCUACCUCAUGCUGUUUUAUUAUAGUAUGAGAAUCAAUUAGCUAUUCAAGUAGCUCAUAAUUUGGGUUUCCAUGAUAGAGCAAAGGAUAUUGAGAUUGAUUUUCAGUUUAUUAGAGAAAAUGUUGAUCCAAGGAUUUGUGCCUGAUCUUCAUGCCUUCAACUCAACAACUUGCUUAUCUUUUUAAGAAGGUCUUUAUCUACAGAUCGACUUAAAUUUCUGUGUAACAAACUCAUGGUGUUUUAGCCAUUUGUUCGAGGGGGUGAUAGUAUAUUAAACUUAUAUUAUAAUAUACUAUAAAUUAAUUAAUUAUAAUCUCUCAUCUCAUUCUUGUAUAAAUAUGUGAGAAAUAUUCAUUAAUAAAUAUGGGGAGAUUUUACUUUCUGAAAGUCUUCAGUAUUUGCAAUUUUAUCGUUUGAAUUAAAAGAAUAAGUAGGAAGUUUUAAAUAGUUUUUAUCAAAAUAGUUUAGAUAAACAUGAAGUUUUUUAAUCGAAAAAAUAGGAGAAAAAAAAGUUUGGAUACUGAUUUUUGCAUAACUUUUUUGCUACCCAAAAUCACUUUUGCACAAAAUAUAGUGUUUUGGCAAAUUCAAAGAAAGUAAUUUUAGAAAAAUAACAAAUCACUCUAAACUAAUUUUUGAAGCAUUAUCUGUUUGGUGAUGGUGAAAAAAUGAUUAAUUGGGAAUUACCGAAUUAUCUAAAAUACCUUUUUUUUUUUUAGUAAUUUGAUAGUUCUAAAAUUAUUUUUAAUUUUAAAAGAAAAUCAAUUUAAAAACAAUCUUAGAAGGAUGGAUAUCACCUCACGUUUGAUGAGUCAGCAUAAAUAAGAUGACAUGGAAAUAGAACUAAUUUUAAUUGGCCAGCGUUGAAGAAAGGCAGAUGCCAAGCUGCGUGUGCGCCUCCGAACUCCAUGCAUAUUCCUCACGCUACCACGUGCCAACUCAGCAAUAUAUCCCGAACAACGUGGGACCCACUCAUCGUGAACAAAUCAACGGCCACGAUCAAACCUCUCAUCUCCCUUACCCAUUUUUCUCCAUUUUAAUUCACCUUAUUUUCGCGUGUAAAACUCGUGGAAAUCCCCUCGACUCCACGUUCUUUUUUGCCUAAACACGUGGCAGCUCCCUCUCCUGAUCACCUGCAUUAACCUCCACCAUAACCACAAGAAAUCCACGAUACCCAACUCGACAACACGGCAGGACGAGGAUAAUAUCGUCAUUGUGGAUUAUAAAGGAAGGAGUUGCAAAGAAAUAAAAUGAUACGUAGCACAGAGGAGUAAAGUUAUGGUGGUGAAAGAAGAACACGCGAAGCCCACGAGUUGAAUACUUCGGGACUUUCAAUCGAAUUAAAAAAGAAAAAGAAAAAGAAAAUCCAAAAUUGACCAUUUAAAUUGGGAAGAAUUUAGAUUUUCGUUUUCGAGUAACGCGAUUGGUGUAAUCCUUUUCGGAAAAGAAAAUCUUGAUUAAUCCUUUUCGGAAUAGAAAAUGUUGAUUUAAUCCUUUCGAUUUAACCAGUCUCGUUGCCUCCUCCACCGGCGCCGUCGUUGUUUGAAUCAAUCACAAUCAGACUUUCAGCCCAAAAGCGAUUUCAAGAAUUAUUAGGGAAGGCAAUCAAUCGUCUUCCCCAUCCUUUCAUUCUUCUUUAAUUCGUCUCUCCACUCCAACCCAAUCCAAUGGCUUCUUUUGGAAUUCGAUGUGGAGGAAAUUGCGGUGUGUUGAAUCUUAACGACGGAUGCGAUCACAAACCAUUCCCUCCUCCUCGUUCUGUAGUCGCUUCCACCGCAAGAUUAAGGAAACCAAGGAGUUACAUUACCGCGAUGAAGAGUUUAGAGCCGGUGAUUAGAAGAAAAAACGUAGACGAUGAAGUAAUCUCAUGCGAGAAUUUAGAUGAAUGGAUGAAGGAAUCAGUGGUUGACAUUGUGAAGAAUCUUCGAGAAGCACCUCUGUUUGUAAGAUUUUACAAAGAGAACGGGAAAACGGCGAGAUUCGAAACGGAGAAGGCGGUGGAGGAAGAUAGAUGGCCCAUCUUGGAAAAUCAAUGGAAAAACGGAGCAGAAGCGACGCCGGAAGGGAUCAUAUUCGUACAAAAGCUUGAAGACGAAGAAGAAGAAGAAGAAGAAGUUGAGAUGGAAGGGGAACCGAAGGCGUGGGGGAUUGUAGUACAAGGGAGAGGAGUUGAAAGAGGAGCACCGGUGUGUUACUUGUUGAAGACGAGUAGAGCGGCUGGGUUAGGGCUAUGGUGUACGCAUUUCUGCUUGGUUAGGGUUAAGAAUUUCAGAGAGACGACGAAAUCGCAGCUUCAAAAUUGUUGGUUGAUGCAGAAUCAAUAAAGAAGAAGAACAGUGGCGGUUCAAUGGUUAGAUACACUCAUAAUUUCAAAUUCAAUACUCAACGUGAAGUAAUUGUUCAUAGUUUUUUUUUUUUUUUUUUUUUUUUUUGGGAGUUUGUGUUCUUUUGAUAGAAAAGGAAUAUCGAAAUACUUUGGGUGAGGAUGAAGGAGGAGAGGGAUAGUUAGUUAUUUUAUUUUUCAUUUUUUUUAUUGUUAAUUAUUUAGUUAUAUAUAAUAUCUAAUUAGUUAUUUCCAAACUAUACCUAUGCUCAUCUCUCACUCUUUUGGAUUUGGAUUACUUGAAGUGGUGGACACUCUAAAUCUUUUUUAAUACUUCCUUUAGGUGUUGGAGAUGCAAUAGUGUUACUAGUAAACAAAACUCUAUUUUACAAAUAAAUAUUGUUAUUGAAUUACUCUAUUUUACAAACAAAUAUUGUUAUCAUUGAUAAAAUCAAAUUAUAUAUUUGAUAUAUUUAAAAUUAUGCUUUAAUCCGAUCUACACUAUCAUACUAAUUUUAUUUUAAUAAAACUAUCUUUUACAAACUAUAGUUUACUUCAACGCAUGUUGGUAUGAACGAACCUCUUUCCUUUAAAAUUGUUUUUGGUAUUAAAAUAAUAUAUACUUAUUUAUUUUAAAAAACCCAAAUUCAAAAAAUUGAAAUACUGAGUUUGUUCUUUUCUUUUUUUAAAAAAAAAAAAAAGAUUCGGCUACCAUUUUAGAAUUUGAAAAUAUUGGAAUUUUGAAACUUAAUUUUCAUCUACAAGUAGUACUAUUCAAAUUUUGUUUUUAAAGGAUAAAUUGAGAGUUGUUGGUUUGAUGGUUAAUCUAAAAGAAAUUGGAUUAAGAAAAACAUAAAAAUGUAAUGAAUUGAUUGUUGUGUGCUUUUAUAGACAUUUUGGUUGAAUAUAGUUUAUAGUUAUAUUUAGAUCCCCAUUAGUUGUAUUCUAUAUUUGUAUUCUACUUCAUAUUUAAUAGUUAAUUAAUUUGGUCAACUUAAACUCAAAAAUUUUAAUAAUGGAAUUAAUUAAUUAUCCUUUCAAGAAGAGAAUUAGUUAACUAAGUCAAAUCAUCCAACCAAAAGACAAUGUUAAAUACAUGGAAACAAUCCCACAGACAACGAGAGCUAGCUCAUCUAUUCAACAAUUUUAGUCACAUACUACAUUACUCUUAGAUCGUUAGAUAUGACAAAAUUGAUUCUCUCAUUAUUCCUCCAAGAUGAUAAUGUUUUUUGUCACAAAUUUCAGUUGACUUAACUAAACUUUCGAAAUUUAUAAGAAAUAACUUUCUAAAGUUUCCAUCUUUCACGACUAACACAUUUUCUAAAUGCUCGUUUAUAUAGUUCUUGCUUUAUGGUUGAGAUCGAGCCUAGGAUUAAGUUAGUCACGUGAAAAUUAUUAAAUCAAUGUUUUAAAAACUCCAUCUUAUUUGUACAUUUUGGGGUUUUCUUCUCUUUCCAUAAAAUCUCUACAUAAAAUCACAAAAACAAGGUUAUUUAUCUCUAUCUUGUAUUUAUUAAAGAUUGUUUGAUUUCUAAGGUGCAUGUUGUUGACCCCAGAAAAUGUGUUUCAUUCUUUUACAUAAUCUCAACGUAAACACACAAAUCUCGAAUGAAAUUCGUACGUUUUGCCUCAUAUUGCCUAAAAGAAUUAAAAUUCAAGCGAUAUAUAUAGAUUUUUGAACCAAUAUGCAUAACUUUUCAUGGGAUUUGUAUUUCUUUGCUUUUAUUCCAAAUCUGUCACAUAUUCAUUUCUUUUGAAUAAGAAUGGGAAUGAGAACAAAUACGCAAGGCUACAUGAAAGGUACAAUUUUAGAUGUUGGAGUAAAGUAUGGGAAAUGUUUACAUCAAAUAUAUAGAAUAGGUGGUGUUAUGGGUCAAAUUUGGACCAAAAGGCAAAAGCUGACAUAUAUAACGAAGAAGAAGUCAUUGGGCUACGAAAAUAAUAGCAAAUAGACAAACAAAUGUGACAAGAUGAUGAAUUGGGCUUAAGGAGAAGACUAAUUAGGUUUUCAGCCAAAGUAGGUUGAUCGACCUCAACUUCAACCAAGGGUGAGGUCAGGUCGACCUUCUUUAGUGAAGGAUGAGGCUGAGGUCAACCUUCUUUGUUUGAUGAACGAAGCUUACUACAACAUGUUUUAGCCUUGAGAAGAGGAUGAUUUGGGUAAAAGGUCAAAUCUCAACAAUUUUUUCCUCGGUCUUACUAAUGAUUAGGUUGAGACUAAGCCUCAAAAUUCAGUGUGUACAUCUUUUCAUCUUUUAGGUCACUCUUUCCCAAAUUAUAAAUUUGUUGUUGUUGCCACGUGAAAGUCAGAUACAUUUUUCCUUGUUCAAAUUUUAGCAUCAACAAAAUCAGGCAUCCUGAUGAAGCUUCUCACUAGUGACACCUUCUCUAUCACUAUCAUCAUGCAUUUACUGAUGUCCUCCACAGUAAGGCCCGAGAUGGACUCCAUAUGCAUAAUGACCUCCUGCACCAUCGUGUCCUCCUAGUCGAUCGGUUUAUCAGGCCAUUCCGCAAUGGUCUUAAGUUGAUCAGUCAUAGCGUCAAUGUAAUCCCAAAUCAAGUCAUAAGUCUCAAAUUGUUGCAUGUCGUGCUUUAUUUUCUGACUGCUAGAGCUUGCCCUAGCGUCACUUUUUUUACCAGAUCAAUCGGCCAUCUUGUCAUCCAGUGACAUGUUCAUCCUUGGGCUGCACAUAGCCAAGAACUCGAUCUCGAGGCCAUCCUCUACGGGGACACCAUCACUGGAUCCUGGCACAUUGAACCUGAUGUCCAUGAACGUUUCCGCACGGACACCAGUCACGCGGUCUUUCCCAAACACAUAAGAAAACUCAUCGUUAUGUGGGAAAGACUUGUUCAUGAGUCCUUUUGCUGCAGCAUGUGUCUAACAAAUUCAAGGAAAAAACAAAGCGUUUAGUAAUCCAAUGUAACCCAUUAGUCAUAUAAUUAAGUUCAGAAUCUUAUCCGGACCUAAUUUUCGAACACGUCCCUCUCGGCGAUGAUGCACCUGAAGUCAUCGUUCCAGACGAAGUCACUCCCUAUUGGGCCCCUUAUCUCAGCAAUGGCUUGAAACGUCUUUUUCAACAAUUUUAUUUAGCUUUUGAUGACGGUGGUCAUCAAACCGUAAUCGGGCAUUCUUUCUCCUAACAUUCUAUCCAAUUGUGCUAAAUAACCUGAGUUGAGGGUCCUAUUGUCCGACCUCUACCCCAUGUUUAAACCCUAAGGUUGGAAACCUUAGAAAGAAAAGGAAUAAAGAAGAGAGAGUGGUUAGUUGAAAGUAUUAAGAUGGGAAAAUAGGAUAAUUUUUUUUUAAUUCUUUUCCCUCUUUUCUUUUCGUUAUGCCAAACAUACCUCAAGGUUUAAGCUUUUCAUGUUAUGGUUCAACAUUUACCGUUUCAAGGAUUUAUGAAUUAUUACUUCUAAAGGUUUAUAAAAAGUUAUUUAGAAAACUAUCAAUCAAACAUACACAAAACAUUAAUUUAAAUAUAACGAAUUAUAUUUAACUAAGUAAUAUCAUGCAUCAUGCUUAUCCAAUUUCAUAUAUUUAAAAUAUCAACAUAUUUUGAAUUACUGAUGAAAUUCAUAAUCACUCGUGAUGUUCUAACACUUAUAAUAUAUAAAAAUACAUGAACAUGUUUAACCUAAGUUUUCAAAACGGGAGCUAUUCCUACAAAAUUGUAUUUGUUUAGGCAUAUUCUAAAAAGAGGUUUGACAAUUGACAUUUCUUUUUUUAAUUGAAAAUGUGAUGGAGGAAGGAAUAUAAUUUAUUGGGUCUUUUUUCUUUUUUCAUUGUGUUGAUAAAUAUUUUCUUUUAUAAAAAAUGGAGCCUGAUUGGACUUCGUCGUCUCUCCGGACGUAACGAAGACGAAGGAAAGAGAUUAUAACUGCAGACCUUGUUCCGGUGGCACGCCUGCGUCUCUCUCUCCCUCUCUCCCUCUCUCCUUCUCUCGUUGACUUUGACUUUUCCAUUGACAACUUCUUCUUCCAUCUAUCUUCCUCUUUGAAUUCCAAUCCUUCACCUAUCUGCCCUGUUUCCGCCUUCUCGAUUUCUUCGCGUUUCUGUUCCAUUCGCCACUCGUAGAACGACGGCAGAUCUUUUCCGGCCAUGAAUCGUGAUUUGAUUUUCCUAUUCCUCUUCUUCCUUUUCAUUCUCCUCUCUCCUGGAUCCGAUGCUUCUUUCCCUAACCGUUUUUGGAAUCUUCACCUCCGGUUCGCGGUUUCGAAGGAUUCUCUUCAGGUUUGUUUGCUUCGUGAUUUCCUUUUUCUUGAUUUUUUAUGCAACUUUUGGAUUGCGGUUGACUUUAAAUUUAUAUUCCGCCGUUCCUUUUUUUUUUUUUUAGAGUGUAGCCCCAACUCCUGGUCCUAACUCUGUUGUCAAUGGUAAAUUGAGUAGGGGCGCCCCAACAAAUUCUCCAACUCCUGCAAUCCCUCCAUUUCCCAAAUCAACUGAUGGGUUUACUACAGAGAAGUGUGACUCGUCCUACAAGACUUGCCAUGACCUUAAGGAUUUGAUUGCUUGCCUUCUGUCAGCAGAACAAGGUAAUCGCGUUUUUUCUUCCUUUUUAGUUUCUGCCAUGAGACUUUUUCUUCUCCGAAUAAUUUAAGUUUUUUUAUUUGUGAGGACUGUACCUCCUUUUAAUUUAGAAAUGAGCAUUCUUCUCAUGAUGCUCUCUGAUUAUUGGUUAAUGAAUUUGGUUUUUCAUUGCAAAUUUUUGUUUGCUAUAUAUCCUUGUGUUUUCUUUCCAAAAUGAUUAAAUGUGUUUCCAUCAACGAACUUAACAUGUAGUUAUUUUGCUGAUAAUAGUGCAUCCUACUUGUAGCACCCGUUACUCUUAGUAAGCCUGCCAAUUAACUCAGCUUUGGUUAGAACAAAGAAGCUAGGGGAUGUGGGGAAUUAUUUUCCAACUUUCAGUCAACAGUGAAUGUGUGUAUAAAGCUCACCAAAAGAAAUGAAUGGAAGUUACCUAUCAGUAACCAUGAUACUUCAAUCAAACUCCAAUGUGAUGGGUUUCAAAGAUUCCAAUCCUCAAGGUGAGAUAUGGUGAAUAAACCUUCCCCCCAAAAGAUUCAUGCCAGAACUACAAAGCUCUGAGCAACCAAAGUUUCCGAUUGAAAGAUGAUUUUAUCUAUCCCAUACCCCUAUAAGCCAAGUGUGGGAAACUUCUUGGAAUGAACCAAGAAUGUUUAUAUAUGCGUGGAACUGGGAAUAUUCAUGUGUGGGAAUGUUAGAGAAACAUACGGUAAAGCUAGCACCUAGCAGUAUGUAGGUUGAGAACCAAAAUUACUUGGUGGGACUUGGCAACUGUAGUAAGAAUUUUAAAAUUAUCAAUCCAUUAUUGGGACUCUCAUCUUAUCAGUUGAUGAGGAAAAGAUUUCACUUGCCUAUCAAGAAUAGCUACUAUAGGAAGCAUAUCGUGAUAGUAAAAUUGUCAGAUAGUUAAGUAGAGGCAGUUGUUGUCACGUUCGUUCUAGGAGGGUGCAAAUUGAAGUUACUAAACGGUGAACAUGGGAAAGCCAAUGCAAUCAGACAUAACUAUUAAUGACCGAUCUAAUUCUCUAGUUAAUACUUAGUUUUAGUCCUGGAGGAUAAAACCAAACUGGUAUAAAGCAUGGAUUUAUAGAGUAUUAGAUAAGUUGCUAUAUGGAUUCAUGUACCAACAUUGUGAAGUAUUUGAGGUAUGUGCACAAGGGAUACUUUUGAAGGUCCUUAGCCUAGAUUACUAGUGGCCUUGGUGGAAGGCCUUGACAUGACACUAGAUGCCUAUUGUGAUAAAUGUCUAGGAGUCUAGGACAAAGAAGUAGAGGGAAAAGUGACUUGUUCAAAGAAUUGAUGCUGGGAAACUCUCGCACUCUUGGCAGUUGCCACCAAAUCUAAUGAAUUUGAUGUAUGGUAAAUAGUCGGUCUGCAAUAUCAUUAUUGUACUAGAACCAACAAAAUUUUCAUUACAAAGUCGCUUUUGAUUUGCACACGGUUAUUUGAAUAAAAAAAAGUGGGCAAUUUUCCUUUAGGGAACUCCAUCAUCUGAUUGUCAAUUAGGAAUGCUUAAAAAUGCCCAAUUGAUAUGAAUUGUGAUCGAUAUAACUGGUUGCCUUAUUUAGUUGUGUUAUUCUAUUAUGUUGUCAAUGUUUGUGACGUGCAAAAUGAAUUAGGGAAGGGAGAUUGUGAGCAAGUUCAUUGGUUGGGGUGCUAAUGGUAAUGUGUUAGGUUCCCACCUUAAAACUUCCUGCAUAUAUCAAUAUAACACACACAAGCAGCAAUCGACAAGAACAACACUGUUCUGCUGAGAAAUUUUUGCAGCAGUUCAAAUUUCUCAACACCACAAUUACAGGAAAGCAGAAAUGUUAAGUUUAAGCAACAAAGAUAACUCCCAGUUAUUUGUGGGAGUUAGUUUCUCUCCUCACAGGCCACAAUUCCCUCCAAAAUUCCAUGAUGGCCAUGAUUUCUUUUGCCUACGAAAACCCACAGAACGUGCUUUUCCAUACAAUGCACAAUCCUUCUGUAAGGUCUCUCCCUUACUAAGGUACUUUUAUUAGAAGAAAACGAAAGAAGCUCCAAGGCAAUACAUCACUCUCCAGCCUAUUAAUAGAAGACCAGUAAUCCUCCUCUUCUCACUCUCAAAAAUUCACUAAAAAUCAAGCUACCCUCUAACAUUCUCUCAGCUUCUUAGCUCUUUUAUAUUCUCCCUAGUCCUGCCCCAACAGAAAAAUAACAACCUGUGUUCCCCACGGCUCACGUAACUACCCUUAUGUUAGGUUUGCACGAGAGCUUACAUAAUGCUUUUGAAUGCAAAAUUUGAAACAACCAACAACAUCCCCAGGUCCCCACUAACAUCUUUCAAAAAUAAAAAGGUCCCAUUAAUCAAUAUCAUAGCUAUGUUGUGAUGUGAAACGUAGUUUUGUGCAAAGUACUUUUUAAAUUAGGAACAUCUGCUUAGAAUAGUGGUUAAAAACUUCAGACCUGAAAGAUAGGAUUUGAGGUUGGCAAGAUAAAAGAAAGCCUUGGUUGGAAGGAAAUUUUGGAAUGUCCUUAGUUUACAGAAAAUAAAAGAUGGACUACUGUAAUUAUAAGACAUGAAAAAUUUCAUGGGCUUCGUUCUAGAUUUAGUGUUUCGAAGCCUACCUCUCUUCAGAAUCGAUCCUAGCAAGAAUGCACUUCAUAGACAAGUGCAAGAGUUAGAAUAUAAAUGUUGUUAUUGGUCGUAAGGGUAUUACUGGUUCUGUACUGCAUGAUAUUUUAUGAAAAGCGAUGCUGAACUAACCAUAAUGGUACUAAAAGCUAAGUUGUAAUUGCAACUAAACUGACCAAAAUGGUUCUCCCAGGUGCUUAAGUACCUAACACCGUACUGGCAGUUCUGUCACUUUCUUGAUCUUGGUUGGUUGUUGGUUGUUGGCUGUGGUUGUGGUUGUGGUUUUGGACAUGGGCUUUGACCCAUCUAUUGGGCCUAGCUAUUACUUCAGGCAGUGCCAGACUUUUCAAUCCAAGAGGAUGGUGUCUGGUAUUUGUAUGAGGUAGCUGAGUAACAGACAUGAUUGCAAUAUAGGUGUUGCUUUCUAAUAACAAGGAUUAGGCAUCAAAGGAUGGCCCUACUCUAAGUUAUAGUAACAGACUUUGGGGUUAGGAGGAUUGUAUUGGAAGUUUAUUUGUGUUCCCCAGCAUUAUUUCCUCCAAUGAUCAUAAAGUGUCUAAGAAAGAAUCCGUUGCUUCUGUUUUGCCUUGGGUUUUCUUUACCAAAUAUCAGGAAGCCUGCUGAUGAAUCGAUAUGUCGUGUGGUAUAGAAGGCUGCUCAUAUACGAGAGCUCCUACAAUCAACUGUCAUAGGCUCUAGGUUAGGCAUUCAAGGAGGGGGGGAAAUUAUAUAACCGCAUAAGUAAUUUAUCAAUGGACAAGCUUUCUUCAAAAUAUUAGUUUUGUGAUCAAACAUCAAUCUGGAACUGUUAAAUUGAAAAUGAAAUCUUACUGCUAACUUUGAAAGGAUAGGUUUCUUAAUUUGAAUAUAAAUCUUUGAAAAAAAAAUUGAAUAUAAAUCUUAUUGCUAACUUUGGAAGGAUAGGGUUCAUUUUCAUUGUGACAUCAGUCUAUGUUAAGCUUCCUUGGCCAGUAUUGCUAAAAAAUUGUUUUCUCACAGCUGAGGUUGAACAAUAUCUUCUGAUCCAAAAUAAUGGGGAGACUUCUCUGAAAGUGAAUGUUACAGUUUCUGACACAAAAUACAAGGAGAUUCAAGUUCCUGAGCAUCAUGCCAAAAAGGUACUCGUUAAUCUUUGCGAGAAUUGAAGUUUUUUAGGUAAGUUACCAGUCAGAAAUUUGCUACCCCAAGCAAAACAAAGGUUUCUGAAACCGUCUCUUUGGUUUUAGAUUUAAAUUGUGAAAUCUAAAUCUACUAGUUUUCUGAUUCUAAAGGGUAUAGCUGGAGAUUCAUUUGUGCUUCAUUUCAUAUUCUAUUUCAGGUUAAUAUUUCAGACUUUCCAGGGAAUUCAAUGAUCAUAUUAGAUGCUGGAAAUGGGAAGUGUAUAGUUCACCUAGGAUCAUUAACAAAAAACGGCAGCAUUUUUAAGCAGAUCUCUUCCUAUGUAACCCAUUUAAACCUCGUGUCCGGAUCCUAUCUACUAUUGUCAAUUGUUUUUAUCGUUGGAGGUAUAUGGGCAUGCUGCAAAAUGAAAACCAAGGAACGCCAUGCCAAUGGAAUCCCAUAUCAGGAGCUGGAAUUAGCAGAGCAUGACACUUCUCCAACCAACGAUUUGGAAGCAGCCGAAGGUUGGGAUCAAGGCUGGGAUGACGACUGGGACGAGUCAAAGCCUUCAAAUAAAUCCAGCUCCGACAUGAAGGCAAAUGGUAUUAACUCUAGAACUUCUGAUAGAAAUGGAUGGGAAAACGAUUGGGACGAUUGAGACAAGAAAUAACUCAAAAGUUCUGCAUACUCCUCAAUCUUGAAACUCAGUAAACUUAGUGAACAUAGAAAAUUCUUAGGAUGAAAAUUCUGCUUCCCACACCAUAUCUCAUCAUAUGGUAAAAAGUUGUGAGCUCAUUUUUUUUUACUGUUGAAUUACAAGAGAACAAAAUGUAUGCUUAUCACGAUAGGUAAAUUUUUGGUUAAAUUACACCUAGGUUAAUAUUUUUUUACCUUGAUAAACAAUAGAUCUCAGGUUUCCUGUUGGUAAAGCUGGAAAUUGGAAAUUGGAAAGUGCAAUAAUGUUGCUUUUUUUUUCUUUAGUAAAGAUCAUUGCAAUGAUAAGAAUAUUUUGGUGUUGUAAUGUUAAGUGAUAGCGUGGUUACAUAGAUCAAGAGGGUAUCAUUUGGGCCCUCAAUAAAGUGUAAACCAAAACAGAGAAAAGGUUUUGAAGUGCGCAGUUUAUUUUUGUUCCCCACUUUCUCAUCAUUCACUCCAAGUUUUAUUCAAUUCCUCAUAUAUUCGUUUCAAUGCAGCUUUGAACUUAGAGAUGUAAACAUUUUUUGAACUAUGUAGAUAUUUAUAUUUAUACCCUUUAAUUGUGUUAUAAUUUCAAUGGUCCCACACAGUUACACAUUUCUUAAUCCUCAUCAUUUAUCUUUCUCAAUUAAUAUACAAUUUAUUCUCUCUAUAUAUUUAUUGUUCUGAUCAGUUAUGUUUUUCAACCUCUCAUAAUUAUUCUCUACGUUCUUUUUGUUUAGAUUCUAUUUGAUUUCUGGCUCUUUGUUUUUUUAAUGUUAAUGUUGUGGUGGGUGUUCAAUUUGGUCUAUAAAUUUCAAAUUUACACUUUCAACUUUUACUUUAUAUUAAAUAUUCACGUUCAGUAGUGUAACAUUAAUGUCUCUUAAUUCAUUUAAAACAAUCAUGAAAUGCAAUUUUAAUAGUGAUAAAAAAUAAUGAAAGUUACUUGAUUGUGAUUCUUUUAAAUUAACUAAUAGAUCGCAUUAUGGUACAGAAAGUCAGUGAAAAAUAAUAGUUAAAAGUAUAAAUUUGAAAAUCUAAAAGCUCAAAAUUCAAAUUCAAAUUUUAUUUGAUGAAUUUCUAACAUUUUUAAAAUUUGUAAACUAAACUGAAAUAAAACUCAAAAUUUAAUAAUUAAGCCUUAUAAAUCUAACCUAUUAAAUUAUGAAUAGAAAUUAACGUAAAAAUAAAAGGUAAUUUUUUCAUUUAAGAAAAACACUUUUAAUUAAAACUCUUUAAACAUCAAAUCAAACGUUCAACAUUUUUUACAUUUAAUAAUACAUUUUAUUUUUCUUAAGUUAUCUAAUACACAAAAAUAUUAAUAAACAUAAAUUGACACAUACACCUUUUUAAAAAAAAAAAAUUAAAAAAAAAACCCCUUUAUUUCGAAAAAGAAAUAAUAAAACCCAUGUGCUAAAGGGCAAGUUAAUUAAUGCAUGAAAAAUUAAUUAAGUUUUUCUUGAGCCAUAAAUACUAAUUAUUUAGUUUAAUGUCUUUGUUUACUUUUUUUUUUUCUUUGGACAGCUCAUUGGCCCUGCAGCCUUUGCACAUGGCCUUCAUUAAUCUUAUUCAUUCUUCACAUUAAAUUAACAAAUAAAUAUGUUAAAUCUUCCAUUCUAUUCUCUUCCUUCUAUGUUAUCAUAUUUUUCUAUUCUUAUUUUUUAUUCUACUUCUCUUACUUUUCUUUUUAAUGCAUCAAUUUGAUAACAAACAUUGACCAUUCAAUUCAAUACUCGAGAAAGUAUUUAUUUAUUUUCUACUUCAAUUAAUACUGUUAUGGGGAUACUACUUGUUACUUGUUUAUUUCAAAGUUCAAAACUUCCCUAAUAAAUAUUUUGUUUAUCUAUCUUUCUAAAACCAAACGCUCCCAUUGUUAUGCUCACUUUAAUAAUAAUUAAAAAAAAUCAUAAAUAUUUCAUUCAUGUUUGAAAAUAAUUUUAAAAGAGUUUAAAUCAGUUUGAUCAUAUCUAGAAUCACUCCAAAACUUAAUACUAAUAUAUUACACGUUUAAGUACAAUUUUCAUAUCUUCAAAUUUUGUUUUUAAUGAUUAAAAACCAUAUUUAAGAGUAAGAAAAUGAAAGAAAAUAAUUUUUAUUAUUUUAGAUUCAUUCUCAAACACAUCUAAACUAGAGAAAAAAAUAUUGCUUGUUAAAAUACUUUUUCGGAUAAACCCAAUUCAUUUAUUAAAAAAAAAAAAAAUAAAUAAAAUGAAUUGAAGUUGAGUAUAUUUAGUAAAAGCAGGCAAUUAGAAUCUGAUUGAAGAUUAGUGAUUUGUUUUAAUGAGAUGAGUUUUAGUUUGAAAUUGGGACAUCAAAAACAAAUUAUAUAUAAAAGAAAACAUUGGUAGCAUUAUUGAACCAAAACUUAGAGAUUAUGAGGCAGACACAAUGACAUAAUGGAAAUACUUUUUAAAAAUAUAUAUAUAAAAAAGAAGAAGAUGAAUAGUGGGACAGAGAUAUUGUUUGUCAUGUGUGGUUUUUAGUAUUGCAAACUUUUUCACUGGCAAUGGGUUUUUCUUUUCUUCAAAAAUAAUAAUCAAAAUUGUGGUUUUUGUGCACUUUGGGUUAUUCUAUUCAGUACUUUCCACUUUUGGUCCCAAGUUGGUGCUGAGAAUUAUGACAUUUCUUACACUUUCAUCACACUUUUUGACCUCUUAACUCUUCUUUCUUUUUCUUACUUUCUCUUCUUCUCUUAUUCUUCUCUCUCUCACAUGAUCAAAAUUCACUUUGUUCAUAUCAUCACUUACAUCAAAUUUAAAUUUUGAAUUACAUUUAAACUUAGACUUUACUACUAAUCCGCUAUUAACAAAAUGUAGUUGGUAUGGCUAUGAAGUAGUACGAUCCUAAUCUCGAUUUCUAUGUAUAACAUGUCUAACUUUAUAACAUUUGAGUGUUAAAAGAAAGUGGUAAGAAAUCAAUUAAAUCUAUAAAAAUUAUUAUGUGCAAAAAAAAAAGGGUUGUAUCUUACUUAUCUACUGACUUCACUUGUAAGGAAGAUCUUCUCUUAUGUUUCUUAUGCAGUUUUCUUAUACUUGUCCCCUUAUACUGUGCAUUUAAUUAAUAAUGGUGUCCCACUAAUAUUUUAUUAUUUUGUAAUUUAAUAUGUAUGGUUUUUAUUACUUUUUUUGGGUGCAAAACAGCAUGUUCUAAAAGUUCUUAUAUCACAGUUUGUUUGUUCUGAUUGGCAGUGGAUCUCAUUUCUUUGCAUUCUUCUGUUAAAUUCCUUUCAUGAAAGGUUAGGAAUGUUGGAGAAAGAUGUGAUGUUCACCUCAAAAAGUGCCAAAACUUCCAAACAUAACCAAAUAUAAAUUAGUAGUUUGUGGUUUAAAAAGAAACAUACUAACAAAAUGUAGGUAUGCCUGAGUUUUAUACCAAUUUAUCUACUAACUUUGAUCUUGAAAUAAAUAGACAAAUAUGAAAAGAUAAGUGAGAGGUUAAAGAUUUUCGAUGGGGGGAUCCAAAGUGGAACCCGGUGAAGAGGAAUCCGGAAAACUCAAACAUACACAAGAAGAAAACUACUAAAUACAACAGGCAUUAAUAGAGCUACAACAAAAGGAAAAAAGUAACAGAAAACUCUCAACAUUUUUUGAUGUUUUCAUCUACCUUAAAACGAUUGAUCGAACAAACCGGAUUCUUCUUCGCCGAGUGACCUGUGUUGAAUCCCUUUUGUAGAGAUUUGUAAUAAGAAACCAAACUGGAUUCAUCCCAAUUCUUCUUGGCCUUCUGAUGGACAUCUGAUAAGCUCUAAUAUAUUAACAACCUCUGCCAUAUCGGGUCGGUUCGAUGGCACCUGAGAUGUGCAUAUCAAGCCUAGUUUCACUACUGGUAUGGCCUCUUCUAAUGGAAAAUUCCUCUGGAGCCUCCCAUCAAUGCAUUCCUCCACCCGACCUUCUUCCAGCUCCCGCCGAACCAUGUCGCAAAGUACCACCACGUCGUCUUCCAUGUAUUCCACAGGUCUCUUCCCUGUUACCACUUCAAGAACCAGAACUCCAAAUCCAUACACAUCACAUUUCUCUGUUAUCUUAACCGUUUUGCAGGCAAACUCAGGUGCCAUGUAUCCUAGUGCGCUUUGUAUCUUGCUGCUCAGCACGUACCGAUCAAGCAUCGGUAACAAUCUUGCUAAGCCAAAAUCUCCAACUUUAGGUUCCCCCGAACUAUCAAUCAGUACAUUGCUUGAUUUUAUGUUGUAGUGGAUGAUGUUCAUUUGGUGCAAAUGUGCCAAGCUUUUCGCAGUUCCGAGGAUUAUGUUGAACCUUUCAUUCCAUGAGAGGAUGUUUCCACCCAACCCUUCAUGAAGCUGUUUAUACAAACUCCCUCCAGACACAAAUUCAUAUAUGAGAAGCUGCAGAGAUGGAGUCCAGUAAUAACCUUCUAAAGCCACAAGAUUUUGGUGCCUAACUUUCCCCAACUUCUUAACCUCCCUUUCAAACUCUUCUUGAGAUUUGACUAGACUUGAAACAGUGAGCUUUUUUAUUGCAACGGGAUGUCCAUCACGAAGAACAGUUUGGUAAACAGCUCCAAAUCCGCCACGGCCAAGCUCACAAUCCUUGUUAAGGAGAGCAUGUGCACCGGUACUGAAAUCAGGCUCUCCUGAAAACAUGACAAGCUUGCCAGAAUUAGCAUCCGUAGUUGGGGAGUGGCUGAAGUCAUCCCCUCCUGAAAACGUGAUGGCUGCUUCAGGACGAUUCGCAGAUGACCGAACAUGGAGGUUAAUGACAGUGAUCGCAACUACACCGACGAGGAUAACAGCAGCUGCACCAAUGGCAAUGAGUGCAGAGAUGCUGAGGAUGAUUCUUUUGUGACCAAGAGUUGUAGGUAAUGAAGUAGAACCCGCGUCAGAAGAUGAGUUGGGGUUGAGAACAAUGGGCUUUGGAAGGACACCUGGGCAAGACCUCUUGACAAUAGAACCACAAAGAGAAGGAUUUCCAGCUACAGAGGAGGGGGAGAUUGUAUUGAAAAACCCACCUGCAGGUAGUUCACCUUGCAGAUUGUUGUGAGAAAUGUUAAACAAAAGAAGGUUAGGAAGAUUAGCCAACUGUUUUGGCAAUGCACCACUGAGAUUGUUUGUUGACAAGUCCACAAUUUGAAGAUUGAUCAGUUGAGACAAUUCUGCUGGUAUGGAGCCAGUUAAUCUGUUUUCCGAUACGUCCCUGCAAAAUUGAAGCAGUAUCAAAGAGCCGCAUCGAUAAUGUAAACUCAGGAGAGACCUCAAACACUCUCACAAUGAAAUAGAAUCGCAAAAGCAUUGAAAUUUAUUUGCUGUCAUUAUAAGAAGCACAGUUCAACCCAGCAAAAAUGAAAGAAUCCUACAAGAAAAUGAAACAUCAAAGCAAAAGACCACUUACAAAGUUACAAGUGAAGAACAGUUCCCCACUGAAUUUGGAACCCCACCCUCCAGCAAGUUCUUCCCCAGUCUCAAUUCUUUCAAAGAUACAUCUCUGCCAAGUGUUUCGGGAAUGCUUCCAUUCAACUGGUUCUCACUCAAGUCAAGAAAAACCAAGGCCUUCAGGCCUCCAAUACUCUCCGGAAUAGCACCAACAAAUGAGUUCUUACACAGAUUCAACACCUGCAAGCUACUUAAUAUCCCAAUAUCAGGUGAAAUUUCACCAGAAAAUGCAUUGUGAGACAAAUCUAAAACUUGAAGAUUAACAAGAGCCUUUCCCACAGUUGUAGAAAGAGAGCUUCUUUUGAUAUCAGAAGGCAAUACAUUUUGCGAACCCAGCUUCAGAAUCCAGGCCGGAAGAACACCGGUGAGAGAACCGUGACCGAGAUCCAUAGCUGAAAGGUUUUGAGAUGGAACUAUGGACUCUGCCAAGCUACCAGUUAAACCAUUUCCGGAAACAUUCAAAACCUUCAGUUUUUGAAGAUUCCCAAAUGAACUUGGAAUAGGACCAGAAAACCUAUUCCCUGAAAGGUCCAAGAUUUCAAGGCCUUCCAUUCCACCAAUCCAUUCAGGAACCUCCCCUUGAAAUAAGUUCCUUCUUAAAUUAAGAGUACUGCAUAAACUAAGCUUCUUCAUUGUCGCCGGAACGUUGCCGGAGAAAGAAUUUUCACUGAGAUCAACAGACCUCAAGAGCAUACAACUCCCAAUGCCAUCUGGGAUCUGUCCAGAAAACCGAUUCUUCCCCAAAUUAACAGCUCGCAAAUUAUUCAUACCCUUCACCUCCGGUGGAAUUUCACCUUCCAAAAUAUUAUCAGACAAAUCCAAAGAUCGAAGCCCAGUUAAGGACCAAAUCCCAGACGGCAAUGAACCUGAAAACUGAUUAGAAGAUAAAUUUACAGCAGCAAGACUGGAACAAGAGCUCAAACUUUCCGGGAUUUUCCCUGAAAUUUUGUUGUUAGCCAAAGAGAUUACUCUCAACGACCCACAUUGCCGGAAGAAAUCAUCCGGAAUCAUCCCAUGAAACCCAUUGCCGCUUAAAUCAACCACUCGAAGAUUUUCAAAGCGAGCAUUAUUGGGACUUAAAUUUCCAGUAAGAUUGUUGUUCGCAAGAGAGAGUUUACGAAGAAACUGCAAUUGAAGAAGACCACGACCAAGCCUGCCAUUGAGUGAGAAGCCAUCAAGAUUAAGCUCAACAACUCUAUUGGAUCUGGGGUUGCAUUUUAAACCAACCCAAUUACAUGGGUUAUCGUCAUCUUCAUUCCACGAGGCGAGUUUCCCUUCAGGGUCUUCAAUGUCGGCCUUGAACACAAUCAGCCCCAAAACGUCUUCGUUCAAAGGUGGGUUCAGAGAUCUCACCAACACUGGAACCACAACAAACAAGACGAACAACCCCAGUAGCCUUUUCAUCUUCAAGAAAACACCAGAAUUAUACGCUACUAAACACAACAAGUUCAAAUAAACCCCAAAGCCAUGCCAAAACUUUAAACCUUACCCAGUACCAACCAACACCCAAAAAUUAAUCUCCCCAACUAUAAUACCACAAAAAUUUUCAUACCCGGAAAGAAAAAUGUUAAAAAGAAACGACAAAUUUACUUCGAACGGCUAGAUUUGGGAUUUUCGUCGUCCGCAAGAAAAAUCAGGAAAGGAAGGAACGACAAGAGAUGGAAAAACCCAGUGAAGAAAUAUAAGAGAAAAGAAAACCCUUUUAAGAACACAGAGAGCUUCAAAAUCUUUCACUCAUAGAAGCUAAGGGAUUGAAGCAAAGUAACCCCACAGAAAAAGAACAACAACGAAACAACCUCAAGACACAGAAAUUUCUUCAGCUCAAAGCAGAGUAUAUAACUUCUAACAUCUCCUACACUAACACUCCCUUUCUAUCUCUCCUUUUCUCUCUCUCUCUCUCUCUCUCUCUCUCUCUCUCUCUAGUUCGCUCUGUAAUCCAUUUGUGAAAGAGAAAAUAAAUGGAAGUUUUAUUCUUCUUUUAUCAACGGGAAAAAGCGGAGUGGGGCGCAGAGAGGAAGACGAGGUCUCAAUCAAUACAGAUUGUGGAAACGUGGCACUGCCAGAGUGGUAACGCCUCCGAUGUGGCAAACACGUAGUCCUUUUCAGCCAAAAUGGCAUUUUUUUUUUACAUUGUGGAACACGUGGCACAUCUUCAUUAGCUGAACUUGGAAUGCCCGAAUUAUCGGCUUAACUACACAAACGCCCUUCUUUGUUCCACAUAAUUACCGCUUUUGCCACAAAAAAUUCCUAACGAUAAACUAACAAUAUUUAAUUCCUAAAUUGUGUUUGUGACAAUUAGAUUAGCAUUUUAAUUAAUCAACGCAUUGACAUUGAUUGGAAGGAUUAAAUUUAAAUACUUUUUAAAGGAAAUCUAUGUACUAUUAUGAUUUGGUGGAUAUGAUAUCAUUUUCAUGUUAGAGAUAAUAAUUAGUUGGCAAUUAAAGAAAGAGUGGCAAUUUAAGUAAAAUUAACGAAUUUAGAGGGUAAAGGUGGAAGGGGAAAAAGGAGUUGGGUGUGGGUGUGUGUGUAGUUAGUUGUAUGAAAAUAAAGCAAAGGAAAAGAAAGAAAAGCGGCCUUAAAAGCAGGUGGGUGGGGAAACAGUGGGCGGUGGGAAGGGUAAAAUUGGUAUUUUGAAAAUAAGUACAAUAAAAGCAAAGUGGAAGGAGAAAGGAGAGUGGUGGUGAAGAAUGAAGUUGAAGAUGUGAUUUUUUUUAAGAAAGUCCUUCAGUUUAUAUAUGUACAAUCAAUUUGUCUGCCUUUAGGGUUUUGUAGUUUUGUGAAAUGUUGAGACUAUGGAUCUUAAUAGCUAGACUUUAGAAGUUGGUAGGAUAUUUGAUGUUUAAAUCAUUGGUAAAACCCGAAGAUAUAAGUAAAAUUGGAUGUUAAAUGUUUUUUGAAGCAUGGGUUAGUGAAGGGUAUUCAUUGGUUAAUUCUUGUGAACAAUGUUGAAGUUUGGUCUAAGUAAGAUUCAAAAGUCUAAGUAAUCAAGACGAGCCACAAGGAAAUGCGCAUCCUAAUAGGAAAAGUCAAAACAUUGAAUUUAGGGUCAACGAGUCGACUUGGUAACUAUAUAUACAUAUAAAAAACAAUAAUCUAGUUGCUCUCGAUCUAGUACCUUGCACCCUCAAACGUCGUAAAUCAACAUAACAUAAUCAAAGUCGCACAUAAUCAUAAGUGAUUGUCAAAGAAAUGACAUUACAAGUAAUCGUAUUUGACGACCUUAAAAGGAAAAGUAGGUAAUCUCCAAAGAAGGGACAUGACUUUAUUGUACUUCAUUUAAUUCUCGGUGUGGUAGGCUUGACACCAUAUUGGUGCAAUAAUUUUUCAUGCAAAUCAAAUUUAAAAAACUGAUACGAAAAAAAGUGAGUUGUAGGUUAAGUCCACAAGAGGCCAGCAAUGACAACAACAUUGAACUCGUGUGAGAUUUGAGUGACAACAAACAAUGAUGUCUAAAGAGGUUGAACAAGGCCAUCGAGAUCUUCUUGGUUUGAGAGACAUAUGAUCAAAUGCACCUCGUUACUGAAAGGUUUGCCUCUACUUCUCUAGCUCCAUGCUAAGCGAAAGCCUUUUCUACUUCAAGAAUCUGUUAGGAUUGUGGGUUAUAUUUUGGGACAUAAGUGAUUUUAUUAUUAUAAAUAUUCUAAUGUAGCAUUAUUUUUUGUCUCGAUUUUUAUUUCUAGAUUUCAUUCCUACCGUAACUAAACACCGAACAUAUAAAUUCAUAUUUAUGCAUACAUACUUACAUUUAUUUAUCACCAAUUUAAUUAGCAAAUUCAUUGUUGUGAAAGAAAAUGCUAAAAAAUUAAAAACUAUCAUUUAAAUUUUAAACCUUAAAUUAGAAAAUUUCCAAACCAUGAAAACAACCCUAACUAACUAAACUAUAUGUGGGUGUGGGAGGGGAAGAAGCAAAUAAAAUUAGAAGUUAGUUGGCAAAAUUAAUUUAAAAAUAAAAGAGAAAGUGAGAGAAAGAGGAAAAGAAUGAAGAAUGAAAAAUGAAAAUAGUAAAAGGUGGGUGAGUGAGUGAAGCAAAAGACUCCCUUUGAGCAGCUUUUGACAUAAAUGCUUUCCCUUAAAGAGGGAGGCUAAGGGAGAGGUUACCCAUUGGCAGAGGGGACCCCCACCCCUAAACCCUACUCUCUUUCUUCCACAAUUCUCUCCUCUCCUCUUAUUCAAUGCAAUCAAAACACUAAACCCCCUUACCUCCUCCACAUCCUAAAUGAAAAUAUAUUUUCCCUCACCCUUUUCAUUUCAUCCUAUUGUUUUCUAUGACUUUCUUUAAUUUCUACCUACUCUAAAAUUCAAUUCCACAUCCCUUCAUUAUGGAAUGCAUUCAUCACUUCAAUUCCUUUUUUUUUAUUAUUGUUCUCUCCCUCUCUCACAAUUUUGUAUAGAAUACAUUUACUAUUUAUAAGUAUUUUUUAUUCAAUUAAAAAAUGUGUUCGGCCCGAAAGAACUUGUAAACACCCCUUCUUGCAUUGCGCAAUAUGUUUGUGGAUUCCACCAUUAGUAAGCAUCAAUCUUAUAUUUUAUCAACUCCUUAUCCUAUAAACCUUUUGAUCAAAAAGGAUUAUGAAACUUUAUGUUAUGUCUACUAUACAUGUGUCUUUACAAUUGUUGUAACAUCAUGCAUAAUCAAUGGUGAAUCUUGAAAUUUUGUUGACAGUGAUUUCAUAAGCUAGUAAAAAUAAUGUGAAUUUUUUCUUUUUGUAAGGAAUGGGAAUUAAUCCGACAUCUAGCAGGUCCAAGAUGACAAUGUCAUCAUUAUAUUGAGAAUGUGAAUUGUAUUUUAAUGAUAAUUCUUUAGAGUUUGAUGACCAAAUCGAAGUUGAUUAGUCGGAAAAUGAGAGGGAUCAGUUGGUAUCGGUUUGAGAAAGUUUCAAAUCAAAAAAUUAAAAAAAAAUAGUGUUAAAUCGAACGACGGAUCAACAUUUAUUCAUUGAUGGUCGAAGUCGAUUUGAACAUUUACUAAACCAACCAGUCAGCUCGGUGGUAGUUUGAUCGAAAAAUCAACUCUAACCGACUAUUGAUCACUCCCAUUAAAAAAACAUAAAAUUGACUAAGCAAAACUAUCAUCUUCUACAUUUGGAAGUGAAACAUAGAAAGAGACUCAAUUUCUUAUAUAUAUAUAUAUAAUACACUUGUUUGUUUGAUUUGUUUUGUUUUGUAUCGAGGGGUGUAUUUAUGUUUCUUGACUUUUAUCCCAAAAGUUGUGUACGUAUUAUAUCCAAAAGGAACCAACCAUCUUUUCUUUUCUUUUUUGUUUUUUCAGCUUAAACAAAAUACCCUAUCUUAGUACCUACUACUUACUACUACUACACACCACACCUCUACACAUUCAGUUUUGGAGGAGCCCUCUUCAUUCAUUUUUCCCUUCCCUUUCUUUUUUUCUAAACCAAUUCUUUGGGUUUAUUAUAAUCUGAAUGUAUCUAAUUCUCUCAUUUUAUUUCUUUCAUUUAAUACAAUCUAACACCUUUUUAACUUAUAUUUCAUUUUUAAUUUUCAUCCUUCAACAAUCAUAAAUCAUAAAUAUAAUGUUAUCUAAUUUAUGAACACAUGCUAACAAAUAUAUUCGAAAAUAUCAAUUACUUUUUUAAAAAAUUAUGUUCCUAUUUUUUUUAAUGCUAGGACAAAUGAUAAAUUCUCUCACAGAUUAAAAAAAAAAGGUGUUUAGAAAAUAUUUAAUUAUUAUAUUAUAUUUUUCAUCCUUUUUAGUUUUUAUUAAGAUUCCGUUUAGGUUCAAAUAAACCUUUUAUCCCCAUCUCCAUUUUUCAAAAACUUUCAAGUCUAAUCUUUCAAAUUAUUAGAACACGAAAAACUAUCCAUAUAAUUAUUGGAUUGAAUUCCAUGUUCAAAAUCAUCACCAUCUCCAUUUAAAUUUAUAAUUAUUUAUCAAAUGAUGAAAUGAAAAUACUUUUCAUAUUAAUAUAGAAUGAAAAUAUUGAUGUAUAUAUUUAUGACAUCAAUAAUCCUUGGAGUACAAUAUUAAUAUUUAAUCUAAAAGGCUAAGCUAAUGAUUCAUGGAGGUUGGGAUCUCAUCAUUUUUAUCCUUCUUUGGCUUCUUUUUCUCAUCUCCAUUCUCCACGCUGAGGUUGGUAACCGACAUGUCGUAACCAGCUAUACCGUAUCGCUCCAAUGAGGCUGUCAGAGGGGCCAACGACAUGUAGUACAUGCUUUAAGAGCAAAAAAUAAGAAGAAAGAAAAAGGUGACAUUUCAUUUUUGUCCAUGUUUUUUGCUUUUUCCUUUUCCUUUUCAAUUUUUUUUAAAUAAUGAAAUCAAUUAAUUUAAAUAAAUUCUUGGACAAAAUUGCAAAAAAAAAGAAAAAGUUACUAAAUGUAUGUCAUACUAACUUUCAAUUUUAAAAAUUAAAUUGUUGAAAAUAUGACAAAAAAAAAUUGAGGAUCUCAAAUUUAUACGAGGAUAGAAAUUAAACUCUAAAAUAUUUAUGGUUAAAAUUAAUUAAGUCCUCAACUUAAAUCUAUAUCGUAAUUUUAGAGUGUAGUAUAUGAAAUAUGGAAAAUAACAAAUGAAAAAACGUUGAAAUGAUUGUUUUUUGAAAUAUUUAUUCAAUAUUAAAGAUAAAUAAAUUUUGACACAAAUAAAAACUUUAAUUUCUUUUUGUAAAAAAAUUAUUUGAACAGUUAUGUAAGGAAAUAAAAGCUGUAAGAGUUAAAAUUCUAUAAACUUUCAAGUUUUGCCACUUAAUUCCAAUAAUUAUUGUACAUGUUUGAGAAAAAAAAUGUAUUUUUUCUUAAUUGUAAAUGUAUGCUUUAAUAAGUUGGUUGAAACACAAAAUAAGAAAUAAGUUUGUUGGAUAAAGAUAGGAUAGAUAAUUUUCGUCUUAAAUAUAAUAUUCACUAUUAUAAUCUAUCCUAAGAUAGAUUAUUGGAACUCUACCAACGUAUUAUAAUAAAUAAUUGAACGUUUGAAAUAUUAAAAGUGGUCUUUAUUGAUUAAAUUUUGUUAUUUUAAGCGUGAUUUUAUGGAAAUUUGUGUGGUCCAAUCUGAAUUCCCAUAUUUGGUGCAUUGUAAAUAAUUGGUAUAUAAGCAUCAAAGUGGUUUAGGACAUCAUUAAAUUCCCAACAGUAACAACCUAUAUGGUCAUUUUGGAUUUAAUUUAUUGCUUAUGUCCUUGUGUACCCCUCCUUCCUACUAACAACUAUUACUUUUACAUUUAUAAUUAAUCUAUUUUUUCACUCCCGUCAUUAUUAAUAAUUGAAUGCAAAAAUAUGGUUUACUAUAUUAGAUUAUUGGAUGAGUUUAUUGAAAUUUUUUUAUUUUUUAUGAUUAAUAAAUUUUAAAGUUUAAAAAAAAUUUAUAAGUGAUGUGCCUCACUUUAUUUUAUUAUUUACACAUUUUUAAAAAAAUUACUUACCAUUUAAAAUAUUUAUCAAAUAUAAUAAAAUUUGAGAUUAUAUUAAUGUUUAUGUCCGAUAGAAUAUCUAUCCACCUCUAUCAUUGGUAAAAUCUAAAAAUUUUGCUAUAUUUUGUAAAAAUAGUAGUUUGUUAUGUUUACAAUAAUUUUCCUUUAAAUAACUUACAAAUUUAUAUUUCAAUAAACAAAUCAUUUGUCACUGGUAUAAAUAUGAUUUAAUUAGCUUGGAUAUAUGCUAUUUUGCUUAAAAUGUCAAAAUUCAGAAUAUCAUUACUCGAAAAAGGAGAAAAAAAUAUUGUUGGAGUGAAAAGGUAUGCUUUCAAUAAUUUUGGUUUUCUUCUUCUUCUAUUUUUCAAGUUUUCAAUUUAAUGUGCUCCUAGGAUAAGAAGAAGUGAUUAAUAUAAAAAACAUAACAACUUUUUUUGUUUGGUAAAAUUGCUUAUACGACAUUAAAACUAUUGAAUUAUAAUCUAAUCCAACCACAUUAUAACGUUCUAAAUCAUAAAAAAGAAAUUUGUAGUUAAAGUAAAGUUAUAUUAUUUUCAAAAUUAAAACUAUAAAUUAGAAUCUGUUCCCUGUGUAGGAGAAGAAGAAAAAAUAUAAAAUAUGUGGGUGGCAUUUAAAUUUAAAAAUCAAACAAGAUGUAUAAAAAGAAAGAAAAAAAAGGGAGGGAAAGAAAUUGUGGUAGUUUAAAAAGAAAAAGAAAAAGAAAAUUGGAAGGGCGAUGGCCAAAGAGAAACGCCGGAAAACGUAGGGGCAGGGCGCUGGAAAGAAAAGUCAAAGCUAAUACAUAACAAUAAUAAUAAUAAUAGAAAAGGCGUGGGGAGGAGAGGGUUUUAGGGAAUUAGAAAUAUUUUUAAGUGGUGGGGCCCAAGGGGACUUGAACGCCGUGUUACGCCGUUAAGGGCGUUUCCUCGAAAAUGGGAUAUGCUAAUACGAAUACCAAUGAGUGUUUUUAAUAACAGAAAGAGAAUGUGGAGAAUGUGGAGAAUGUGAUGUGUGACUUUGUGAGAGAGACGCGUCGGGUCGGGUUUAGGAUAAUUCAUAAAUAUAUGGUUAAACCCAUAGUUAAGGAUUAAUAUGUAUAAUGUUAUGUAUUAAUGGGAAAUUGAGAUAGGAAGAUAUGGUUUUUGUAUUGGGUCGACGCACCAUAACUCCGGACAGCAACACGACAACCAAAUUCACGCUUUUCCCUUCUUUCUUUUUUCUUACUUUUCUUCAACUUUUCUUACCAAUACCCAUACAUACGCUGUGUUCCAAAAGCGUGACACCAAUAAUAAUAACACACUUCUAUCCACCUAUCACAUAAUAUAUAUUACAUUUUCUUACUAACACAUCUUAUCGCAUACUUUUUUCUUUCUCCAACUUUUAUGCUAACACACUACUCAAUUACCUACAAAAUAAUAAGAUAUACACAUCCAUAUGGUGCUUAUCACACUAAACAUCAAAAUAUAAGAGAACGUUUGAGUAUUAUAAUUCACUUACUUCCUUUCGAGUUCAAUACAAAACUUAUUUAUAUAAAAAAAAUAUUAAUCUAAGGCAUAUUUUAUCUAAUUUUCUUAGUCAAAUUAUCCUUCGACUUGACUUUGAGGUUGGUUGAGCUUUUUUUAGCUCGAAGCUCAAUUAAUCCUUUUUCUAAAGUCUACUUUUAGUAUUUUUCUCUCCUUUUUUGUUAUACUGCUUUUUACUAUUGAUUUUAAAAUCUACCCAUAACAUACAUCCUCAUCUUAUACACACGUACACAUAACACCUUCACUUUCAAGUUUCGAGGUAACUUAAGUAAUUAACAUGAUAUAUUUCAUAUUUAAUUAGUGUGUUGUUAAUAAUUGUAUCUUCUCUAAGCAUAAAACAUCGAUAUUAGAAGGUACGUAAUGUUUUAUCAAGUUUUUAAAGUAUGAAAAUGAGGUGGAAAUUUUGAAUCAGACACUAUUGUUAGCUGAUAUAAUUUUUUGUUUACAUAAAAUAGGUUUCAUACAACUGUAUGGAGAUGGUUGCCUAAAUAAGAUUUUUUUUUUUUUUUGUAUCGAUUAAUAUAAAAAAAUCUAAAAUAUGAAGAAACUAUGUACUGUCUUCUCAUGGGUUGUGAUUAAAGGCUCUCAAACAUCAAACCAUGAUAUUGUUGCAAGAGUAUUGCAAAGAUAUUAACAUAAUUAACUAACACAAUUUUUGUUAUCGUUUUUUUUUUCUUUUGUUAUUAUUUCUAAUUAUUAUGCAUUUAACUGUUCUAAAAUGCCUAAAAAAAGUCAGAGAAUUUGCGUAUCGAGCGUAUAGAUUGUAGCCCAAAGAAAAAUAUGGGUCCAGAUUCGUAUCUUCAAACAAUUGAGCCUCACCACGAUAAAUUGGGCCGAUAGCAUGAACUGGGGUUUGGGUUGCAAUCCGCCAUAAAACCCAAUUGUUGUAUUGAAAAAGAAAAAAAAAAGGAUAAACCGUCUAAAUAGCAAAAUAGUAAACAACAAGUUGAAAAAUAGCCAAUCUUAUGAACACUAAGAUUUAUAGCCAAACUACCAGCUACAUGCUAUUUUUUUUACUAUUUUAUAUCCGAUUAUAGCCCUUUAUAUAAGAUCAUUUUUUUUCUUAUUGACACAGUGCAUUUGAUUAGGUAAAAAAAAACGAGGCAGAAUAUCAAAGAUUCAAGAGUACAGUCUAUUUGUAAACAACAUUCUGCUUCGUUACAUCUUAACUAAAUAUCAUAUUUUAUUAUUGGAGAAUAUUGCACUAACAUCAUUGUAAUCUCUAGGAUUUUUAGAAUUUGAAUAAAUUAAUUAACAAAUUAUUUCUAUAAUUCAUAAAUAUUUUAACAAUGAUUUGAAUUCAAAUUUUAUACAACCCCUCAAGUAAUAGCAAAGAUAAAUUGAAUAGUUUCGAAUUCUUUAUAUUUCAUACUAUUUAUCAAAACCUUAUUAAAUUAAUACAUAACACUAAUGGAACGGUAGACAUGCAUAACGUAAUAAGGACCAAACUUUACUCUAAUUGUAACUAAACACUUUAGUAAUUAACAUACAUUACAAUCUCAAUUGAUACAAAUAUAGUAUUAAAAGAAAAACUCACAUUUAAUUCUUUUGUUUAUGUGUAAUCUCCUCACAAACUCUUUGUAAUCUUCUCACGAAAUUGAAGUCGGAACUACCACUAGUGUUGACUCGCUAUUCUCCGUACUUAGAACCGGGUUGUGAAAUUUGUUCGAUGAAGGAAUUAGAGAGAGGUGAAAUUUUGAGGAUGAACUUAGCUUGGAGAUUUUUGUUGAGAGUAAAAGGUUUAUUUUUGUAAUUCCUAAUUACAAAAUUAAUUAUCUAAAAAAAAAAACCAAUAGUCCUCUUCCCCCAUUUGCAACAAUCCAUUGUUCAAGCAAACUAGCAUGCAUGUAAUGGGAUUCUUUUAUCUUAGCACUUGACAUUUCAUUAACUAUUAGUGGGCUAGGUGUCUUACAUGCAAUAAGCCACUUGCAUAUCACAUGCAAGUGAUAAACUUGCCAAAUCUCAACAAAUAUUAUUAAUUUAAAUUAGUUUAAGAUCAAUAUGGUCAUUUGAUAUUUAAAUCAAAUUCAAAGUUUGACUUUUUGGAGUAUAAAGUCAACAUUUUGAUUUUUUACCAUUUUGUCCGUCUUGAUUAGUUUUGACCUCCUGAACAAGAAUCUGCAUUCGUUUUCUCAAAAUUCAAAUAACAUUUUAAUAUAAAGUCGGUAAAAAGUUUGACUUUUCAAAGUCAAAAGUCAACAUUUUGACGUUUCACAUCUUUGAUCACUUUCAUCAAUUACAAGCUUUUGAAUAUGAAUAUGUAUUCAUAUUUUUAAUAUUUAAAUCAUAUUCAAACACGAAGCUCUCUUUUAAGCUUAUAAUUGACAGUUAUAUCAAAUAUAUUCGUCAGUUUCUUUCUCUUUAUCUAAUUCAAACAAUUCGAAUUAUUCUAUCAUAAUGUUCUAAGUUGAUUUCUUGUGAGCUAGCAAGGGAACCUAACGGACCUAUAGAUCAUAGACUCAAACGAUUUGAGAUUAGCUGGUUAAACUCUUUAGAUCGAGUUAAUCAACACUUUAGACCGAGUUAAUCAAUCUUCGUUAACUAAGACGAGUCAUUCCACAAAAGUUCCGUAGUUGCACUGCCCUCACUAUAGAUAUAUUUGUCCAUGUGAUAUAACCAUGAUAAGUAAGUUAAUCUUUCACAUGUUGUUUAUAACCUCGACUAGGUCAAAGUAUCGUUUUACCCCAAGACUAUAUCUUACUCCUUAAGUCACACUGAUCCACUAUUGAACAAUUGGUUUUAGGUCUAACCUAAAACUAAAUCCCUCUUGAGCCAAUAAAAGGGUGGGACCCCUUAUUCAAGAAUUGGAUUUAGUCCUUAAGGGAACAACAUAUCUACUAUCCCUAAAACAUGUAGGAGUGAAUUUCGUCUUGCACCCUAUGGCCCUAGUUAUCCAUUUGACUUUACCCCCCAAAAUGGUAGGCUUAUUGGGUUAACACCAUUGAGUUGCCCUCACCUAUGCAGAUCUAAGGUAAUCGACCAUAUGGAUAAAUCAUUACUGUGGCAUGAUUUGUUUGUACAACAUCAUCAAGAUCUAGCUUAAUCUUUUUGUCUAGAGUCAAUUUCAAAACCAACUCUUUCAAUACAAAAUAUUUCUCUACGUGAUGACUACGACCCAAUGAUAUUUGUAGUAAUUGGACCUAUUUGCUUAGUGGGCUUGUGGGCCUUUAUGCUCGUUGGACUUGGAUUUGGAUCCAUUAUCCUUGUUGAUCCAAUUUUUAUAUUUAGGGCUUGAAUUGGGUUGGAUAUGAGAAAAUUUAAUUACCCAAACCCAAUCAAAUUAUAAUUAUCACAAUUUUGCUAUGAUACAUGGGUGAUUUAAUUGGUUGAAAUCUCGUGCUCAAUAACUGUGUUUAAAAAAUCCAGUAGCCUUACAAAUGUGUGAUACAUUUAAAUUACAGUAUACGUGAAAAUAAUAACAUACCACAUAAAUAUGAGGUUUUUCAAACUAUACAAAAUAUUUAAAUGGAUUUUUCUCGAGAUUUAACGAGAUUACCACACAGAAUAUAUGCAAAACCCUAAUCUUGUGGCAUCUCGGUGCAAUUUUGCUCGAGUUUUAUUGCUUAUUCAUGCAAUCUCGAUCAAGAAUGUCCCGAGAUUUCCUUGAGAUUCAUCACGGAAUACUGAUGUACGCGUGUUUUCUUUUUCUUGCAGAUGACUUUUGUCACAAAAUGCAAAGUUUAGGAGUAUUUUUUUUAUAAUUUAGUCAAGAGGAGGCAUGAAAAAAAAAACACGUGUAAAUAGUAUUCUGUGAUGGAUCUCAAGGAAAUCUCGAGGCAUUCUCGACCUAGAUUCAUCACAUAAAUACAAAGUUGGAGUAUUUUUUAUAAACUCUAGGAAUCUCGGGACAACGAUGUCCCAAAUUAUAUAAGGGCGAUUGCAAAAAUAGCAAAAAAAAAAAAAUGAUAAUAUGACUCAUGUCACUAUGUUUUCUAAAUUUCAAACGUAGCAAAUUUAGAAAUUGAUAACUCUUUGAUACUCCCUCCGAUAGCCGUUUGAUAUUUUUAAUUACUUCAUAUUUAUUUACAAUAUGAAAAAAAUGUGUCAUUGUCUAUUUUUUGUUCUAAAUAUUUUUGUCAUCUAAUACAAUUUUCCAAUUAUAUAGUUUGAAGCGAUGAAUAAUAGAUGUGGAUACAUAUUGACUACCACCCUAUGUGAUUGGGGAAAAGGUGAAGUCCAUCUAAUCAAAAGAAUCAGACGGUAAAAAAUUAUUCCCGGUUGUUAUGGUGGCUGGAACCGAAUCCACCGUAUAAAAGUCUUCCUAAUUCUUCUAUUAGGUUUGUCAUUGGAAUUGGAAAAACAAUUGAGAGAAAGAAAAAUGGCAGGUGAAUCGUCUUUGUUCAAGUUCUUGAGCCCAGGACGCCGUUUCCAAUCUACGGACAUCCAGGCCGCCGCCGGCUGGGGUGUCGCCGCCGCCACAACUGCUCUCUGGGUCAUUCAGGUUUUCACCUUUUCUAAAUCCUUUGAUCUAUGCAUACUUUUGUUUCUGAUUUCCACAGAUUUAUGAAGUGAAUCUUUUGACUUCCUGUGUUGAAUUAAAGGAUGCAUCGAUUUUCUUGAGAAUUGAUUCUUGUUUCUGCUUUAUUACCCUUGCCACCUUAAUGGUUUCUAUUUCAAGUUUUGGACGACCUACUUUGGCGUAUUCGGAUCUCUAUUUUUUCUCCUGCCUUGAUAUAGUGAUUACACAGUUGAGAUCUGAAAGAAAUUUAUUCCUUUUGAAUUAUGGUGUCUACGAACAUACGUAUUCCCCGUUGACGAGGAGCCUAGAUAUUCAUUUCAGUUCUCUUUUACUAUUAUCUUCUUUUUGGUUGUUGAUCGAGCACAAAAUGAUACUCUUGCCCAUCUUUGGAAGAUAACUGGUAGAACUCUUGAAAUAUUAAAAAAUGGAGUGUAAUAAUUCUUUUCUCACUCUAUAUUUGUUUUGAACGAAGGACACAAUUCUACAACCUUUAGAACAGUUCUUCUUCAAGUUAUCUUUAUUUAUAUGCAGCACCAUGUUAGACAUUGAAUCUCACAGGUUUCUAAAAAGUUGUAGUAGUUCAUUAUAUGUGGCUCCAUGUCCUGCCGUCCUCAUGAUCACAACUCUGGUUCCACAUUGUAAGUUUUGUUUACUUCAGAUUCCAAUCCAAGUUCAGCUUUCAGUGUUAUGGAGCUUUUAUCCAUCAAAACCCUACCUCAGCAGAAGUUUUGAUCCUCUAUCCUUGCUAUUUCUACACUCUUUUCCAAGUUCCGUAAUUUUAUCGAUAUAGAUGGCUUCAUUUGUUGGAUUUAAACCAUUAGUGAACUUUCUAACUGUACCUGCUGCAAAAUUUCCAUCGAAGACACUGCCAACCAAAAUCUUAAUCUAACUUCCAUCAAUAUUCUUAAACAGUCCUGGGGUAUGGUAAAAAACUUUGUUGUUUGCACCUUCUACCCAAGAUUCUGUCCGUUAGUCCACUGAACAAGGUGAGAGGCUUACCACAAAAGUUCACAAGUGAUGUCUUGAACUCCUAGGAUCCGGCAUUCAUUUUGCAGUGAAGUAUUGUUCUGCUCUAAACGUAUUCUCCUCUCAAUUGCUACUUUUUAUUGAAAGACCUCUCACAAUGUUGGUUGUUUCUUUCUAGAACAAGCCACUCCACUGAUUGACGACCACACUUGGAUUCUACUACUGCAAAACUCAAAAUCGAUUUCCCUUAAUCGCCCCCCCAAUCACAUGUUUCGUGCACUUCUUUCUAGGAAUCCCCAAGAUUGAAGUGCUCCAAUGUCACAGCUGAUAGAUCCCUUGUCAUUUUAUUUAACCAAUUUGAUUGUGAUGGUAUGGGGUUUUAUUAGCUCAGCCCUCUUUCUCUGCUUCUCAUAUUCUCUUUCUACAUGCUUUGUAAACGUCCCCAACUCUUCUUCCUUAACUAACGGCAAUUACAUCAUUUCCUCUCUUUUUCUACUGAUUAGGAUCACCUGUUUUUUUUCUUGUUUUCCCAACUAAACCAUAAUGGACUUGUGUUCUUUGCUAUGUGUUUCUUGCAAAUUAUUGAUUGGGAAAAACUGUUACUUUUUCGCCAUCUACAAGUUUUUGGGUUCCAGAUGUGCUCCAUUACCUUUGAUAAGGAGAAUGCAUUAUCCUACCUUGGCUGGCUUUUUAUACAUUGUUAUUUUUGUAAAUUUUUCUGCAAAUAAAUGGAUAGAGAUUUGAUCCUACAACCGACAUAAGGUGUAAGAAUGUAAGUAGAGUCUGUAUGAUCGCAUCUUUCAGCUUACCGCUUAGUGGGGAUUGAUCGAGCAGACUCUUACCUUGAUCACUUGCUAUGCUUAUGUUGGUUAAGGUUAACUUUCAGUACUUCUGGUCUUUUUACUAUGACUUUUUGUAUCCAAUAUAAGAUGCUUAACCUCUAUAACCCCGAAAAUGCUCUCUGCCUUGUAGUAGAAAAAAAUUAAUUAUGUACAUUUCCCCUUAAUGUUUGGUGAGGCUGCAAACCAACCUAAAUUGUUUGAGUUGUUAAAGUAUCAUUGCUUGCCUAAACAGUUUGUUCCAAUUAAUUUUGUACUAUAUGCUUGAAAUGUUAUUAGUAACUAUACUUGUAGAAAAUGAACUGUAUAUGGUCUUUCCUCUUUUUGAGGCACCUCUGUGGUGCAUUAAUAGGAUGUUUAAACGAAUCUAAUGACUUAUUUUUCUCUUUUGGACUCUUUGCAGCCAUUUGACUGGAUCAAGAAAACGUUCUUCGAGAAGCCACAAGAGAAAUGAAUUGUUAUUUUGUGAAGACUCACCCCAGUUUUUGUUAAUAAAGUAUCAGUUGAUUGCUUUGCCGCAAAUGGGUAAACUGCAGAGUUCAUUGGAAUAACAUGUUUUGUAAUAGAAUCUCUUUUGAUUAAAAUUGAGUUCUUCCGUUUGAAAUUUCAGCGAUAACCAUUUGAACUUUUGUUUUUGUGUUUUUUUAUCCCUUUUAGAUUAAGGUUAUACACGUCACUUACAUCCAUCAGUUUCUAUAUGUUGUCAUGUUUUAAGAGCAAGCUAUGUUUGGACAACUAAAAAGAAAAUGGUUUUUUUUUUGUGUUUAGAAUUUUACUGAUUGUUCAGGUCUUUCUUAAGUUCAUAUUUAAAAAACUAAAACAAAACUGUUGUCUAAGGGACUUACAAGUUUGGUUGAUACUCGUUCUUCCCCCCUACUCCAUUUUCCAGGAUGUUUUCUUUGGUUAAUUUGUUACUUGGGUCAUAGGCAUUUGAGGGAGAAGAUUCAAACUUCUAUGAAAUAUUAAGUUUCACGAAUUUCAUUUUAGUAAUGUUUUGUCCUUAUAAAUCCAACUCUUUCUCAAGGAAAUUAUUAUUCUCUUACAACAUACCCUUUCUUUUAUCCAGUAACAUUUUCUAAACGUUGAUAAUAUAGCCUAUGAAACAUCAAUUUUUUAACAUCUUUGAAGCUAGAUAAUAUAGCUUAUAAAAUAAAUAAAUUAAUAACUUAACAUUGACUAGAAGACAAUAAAUUAAUUAAAUUAUUUGUUAGAGUAUUAUAGUUAUAUGAUCUAAUGUUCUGUAUUAAAACAAGUAGAUAUCAAGCUAGGAAUGUGAAAACAUCUUGCCAUCUAAUUUUGUUUCUUCUUUUUUUGUGACAUAGUCUAUGAUUUUUGUUUCCGAAGCUAUUCCUUUAACAUUCUUUAAUUAGUAUCCUUAACACUAAUUUUUAAGCAAUAGGUUUAUAUUUAAACAUUAAUUUCCAAUGAUUGAAGUCCUUGUGCAAUCUAGUUUAGGAAUAAUUUUCUAUUUUUUGCAUAAUAAACAUUUUAAAUUAAAAGCCUAUUUCCUUUUAAGAUUUAGAUUACUUCGAAAUCCUUUUAAAUUUAAUUUCUCAAAAGGAAUUUGUUGGAUUAAAUCUGAAAAACGACGUCGUUACAGUAUGAAGUAGAAUUCAAUCCAAUUUACUGAAGAGUGAAGGUAAAAAGGACUAGGUGAAAUACCUAAAAGCCCAUUCCUAUUCUUACGCAAUCCGUGGAUAAAUAGGUAAAAUCCAAAGGUGUUUUGAGUUUUGACCUGUUCUUUCGUUAUAGGUUCUUACCAUUAUCCUGUAUAACACGUGUUUCAUCCUAGUCCGUCGGAUCAAACUCCCCUCUUCCUUCCUUUACCCUAUUUCCCUCAUCCCCAAGACCUCUUUUCAAUUUCCUUACUUCCUCCGCCGCCGUCUCUCUGCCGAAAAGGGGUUUUUCCGGACCUCAUUCCGAUUGAUUUUCCCUUCUGCUGCUCUCCGUCUUCACUGCUUUAGUUCCUUUAGCGAGGGGUUUUUCUGUCGCCGACUCAGAUCUCUGUAAGUGAUACUCAUUCGAAUCGAUAUUUGGAUGUCUUUUGAUUCGUUACUUUUCCUUUGCUUGUUCAUUGAGAAAAGAAGUUGAUUCGAUUUUGAUUGCAAAACCUCCUUUUUGCGUUCAUGCGUUUGUUUGUUUAUAUCUUUAUGUUUUUUUUUUUUUUUUUGUUGUUGUGGUUGUUGGGAUCUGAUCGCUCUUUUCUUCGAAUGUGGUGGAUAGAUAAUAUAAAAAAUCCGAGUUGGCGGUGGUUCGAUGGAGAAUGAGCUGGUGGAAUUGUUUGAAGCGGCGAAGAAGGCUGCAGAUGCCGCUGCAGCACCAUCAAAUGAUGGGGGAGCCGAAGAAAGUCGUUGCCUUGAUGCCCUAAGGCAGCUCAAGAAAUUCCCUGUUACUUAUCAAAUCCUUGUUUCCACUCAGGUUUUCUUCUCAUUAGACUUGAGAUUUGUUUCUUUUGUUGAUGGUGGGGGGACAGUGAGAAUGUAAUUAGCAAGUUUAUGAAAUUAUGCAUGGUUUUUAUUAUGAAUUUAGCUUAAAUUCAUCGUCUGCUUGCUUACGAAUUGGUUUCAUAACGAAUUGAGUUCACUCGAUUUCAUACGUUGUUUAUGUCGUUCACGUUCACGUAACAAAGUCAUCUCAUUUGUGAUCCUUGUCAAUUUCGGGGAGAGAAUAAUGGCAGGAUUUUCCUAGUUAAUUAGGCCCCAUUUGAAUUGACUUUUCAAGUGUUUAUGAGCAUUCUUUUUCAAGAGAUACACUUAUAUAAAGACUUAAGAAAUCAAUCCAUCAAUAAUCUUUUGUUUCAUCUUUGUAAUUGACAUCACUUUUGCCUGUAUUGAUUGCUUAUUUAUAUUGUUUUCUAUAGGUUGGGAAGCGUCUUCGGCACCUCACUAAACACCCCAAGAAGAAAAUACAGGAGCAUGCUUCUGACCUGAUUGAGAUGUGGAAGGAGAUAGUAAUCAAGGAGACUAAUAAGAACAAGAAAAAUGGAAAUGCCAGCAGUAAAGAUUCACCUAAAAUUGGUUCUCCCAGUGCAGAAUCAGUUAAGGUGGAGAAGUUUCAAAAAUCAUCUUCCAUGAAGGUUGAGAGAGUUUCCAAGGUUGAGCAAUUUGAUAGGAAUGGUGCCACAAGCUCUGUAAAAUAUUCCAAAUCAGAAAGCGUGGUCUCGGAGAGAAACUCUGUGAAGGUUGAGAAAACUGAUUCAAUGGUCAAGGUUGAAAGGGUAGUUAAAGAAGAGAAGAAACCAUCCAGUGGCGCAGCUGCACCUCCAAAACUUACUUCCAUGAUUAAAUCAAAAGAUGCUGCUCGAGACAAAAUUAGAGAACUUCUCUUUGAGGCUUUCUCCAAAGUCCCUGGUGAAGCUGAUGAAGAAUUUAUGGAUGAGGUUAAUGCAAGUGAUCCUAUCCGUGUUGCUGUUUCUGUAGAAUCCGUGAUGUUCGAAAAUUGGGGAGGUUCUACUGGUGCACAGAAGGCCAAGUAUAGAUCUAUAAUGUUUAACCUCAAGGAUCCAAAGAACCCAGACUUUCGAAGAAAAGUUCUUCUAGGACUUAUAAAGCCAGAAAGGAUGAUCAAUAUGAGCACAGCCGAUAUGGCAAGCGAUCAGAGAAAACGUGAAAAUGAAGAGAUUGCACAGAAAGCUUUGUUUGAUUGCGAGCGUGGAGGAGCACCAAAAGCUACUACCGAUCAGUUCAAGUGUGGUCGAUGUGGUCAGCGCAAAACAACCUACUAUCAAUUACAGACGCGGAGUGCGGAUGAACCUAUGACGACGUUUGUAACUUGUGUAAACUGCAAUAACCAUUGGAAGUUCUGCUGAGUCUAUUUUGAGAUGCUGAAAAUGUUAUUGUUUGGAACAAUCUACUGAGCAAUUAGUGUUAUUUUGCCCUGACAUUGGUUGCUGCAGUUUGUAAUCUCGUUCCACAUUGUUACAUUUAGAACGUAGGAGCUUUUCUGUUGUAGGAUGUCUUAAGUGCCAAUUUAUUAAGAAAUUCAGUGUAUAAACUUGUUUUAUUUUUAUUUUCUUUGGUAUUUUUAUGAGUUUCAUACAGUUACAAGGAUCUCUUUAACUCAACGGUUCAACUAAAUUGUUUGUUAAAUUUGUCUAAGAGCAUAUACGAGAGAUUCUGAUUUUGACUGUAGUGGAUUCCUUUAUAUUAAUUGUUCAUAAUUCAGUGGCCCCACUUAUCAUAUGAAAUGAAGUAAACGUGUCAUUGAUAAGGGCAAGAGGGAUUUUUAAAUUAGUGCAACAUAAGGAAGACUAAAGACUAUAUGACAAAUCCCUAACAUGGUGAUUACAUUAACGAGGCCAAUAAAUAGCUUUAUUAUGCUCAUUCAGUGACAUAAUGAAAUAAUUUGUAAUCUAAGAAUCAAUCAUCCUACAUGGUAUUUGUCCGAGUCUUCUCUCAGCUGCUGUGGUAGCAGUCACAUGUCUUGGUGUUUCAUUUCCCUUCUCACAACUUAUUUUCUCCUAAUGGUGAUUCUUUGCAUUUCCAGUGAUGAAUGAAGUGCUCGCUCUGUUUCUAUUUAGCUUUUAUAUCUUCUCUUCUACUGUCUAUUUAACCUACAAUAUAAGCCUAGAACAAGAACAUGAAAUUGUGAGGAACUAUUAUAUCAUUAUAUGCUCAAUAUUAUUGGAAAGUUAUCAGAAAUAAUGCAUUGAAGUUUUUAUAUUAUAAAACUAACACCCAUAGUAAGGUUGUUAGAAAUACAACCAAUACCAAGAUGUACCAAGAAUGUUCAAAACAAUCAAUAAAUUAAAAAAAUAUAUAUAUUUUUUUGACUAAAUCUCGAUGGUCGAUCUCGUUGAAGAAAGACCAGAAAAACUUGUUUUCAAAGAUGAUACUAGUUUUGAGUUAUUCAAAUUAUCAUCUUACCUACCUCACUUUCAUCCAGGUAAAGGUAAUGUUGUUGGGAGCAAAGACACGAAUUACAACGUAAAGAAUAUGGACUCAACUAGAGAACAAGACCUUUUGCUUUCAAAGCGGCUUUUUAACUAAGAUAGCCUAAAAUGCUAUAUCUUAUUACAUGAUGGACCUAAAAUUUUAAUAAAUUUCACAAGUGUCUUAAGUGGGUUUAUAUAUUACAUAUAUACCCGUUCCUAUUAUUAAAUUGAUUAUAAAAAAAACUAUAAAUGGAAAAGAUCGUAGGUUACGGUUUUUGGAAAGAAAUCAAUCACGAUUCAAACUUUCCUUUUUCGAAUACCGUGGUUUACUUCUAUUAUAUUUGCACAAGCAACCGUUUAUACUGAGAAAUUUUAGAGAUUUCGACGGUCAAGAAGAAGUUCGACAGCCGACAAAGCCAGUAAUUUUUCGAUAGAAUCUGGGUCUAAAUUUCAAGGUUAGUAAUGUAUAUUUCAAAAACAGUACGAAGAUUAGAGUAUACUGAGUAUUAAAUUAUACUUAAUUAAUUAUUAAUGUAUGAUUAUACAUAAUUAUUAAAUUAUUUUAUAUUGAAAAAUAUUUUAUUUUAUAUUUAAUUAAUAAACUAUUUUUAAAUUAUUUUUUAUUAUUAUACAUUAAUUAAUAAAAGUUGAGUGUAAUGUGAAUAAGAAAAUAAUUUGACUAAUUAGGAUGAAGUUAUAAUUAUCGUAUAAAUUUACACCAUCUUAGGCAAGAAAAUAAAUUUUAAUUUAUGACACUUAUCAAAUUUCGUAGUAAAUUUAGUUUAUUUAUGAAAUUUCGUAGUAAAUUUAGUUUAUUUAGUAUCCGCCUACUACUUAUGCUUUCAAAUCUAUAUACAUGAUCCACCAGAUUGGUUUUAGAUAGCAGGUAUAUUUUAUUGUUUAUAACAACACAAACUAACAUUGUAAAAUUUCUCUAUGCUUUUUGUAUGAAGGACAACAAUUGCAAUACAACUAAAUUAGCCCGUAGAACUGAAUAUCAUGAAACAUGCGUUGAAGAUAAUGUCCUCAAAUAAAAUUACAUACAUACAUCCCACAUUCCACAACUCAUCUAUACUAAACUAUUAUCUAGGAAACAUGUUAAAGCUCUCUUACCCUCACGUUUCCCAUUUCUCUACCCCACAACACCCAACAAUAAGAAAACAAGCUUUAGACAUCAUGAGGCUCUUAUCGUUUACAAAGAGUACAUGAAUGAAAAAUCAAGCAGCAUUUUUGAAAGAAGGAAAGACGUGACACAUAAAAAUGGAGAACUGAGUGUACACAAUAAACAAAUAGAGUUGAAUAAUAGUAUAAAUUUAAAUCCUAAACUUUCAUAAAUGAAUCAAUUUAUGUCAAAAAUGCCACAAAUAUUAGAUAUCUACUUGUUUAGAACCCUAAAC
rnacentral:lncRNA from 1 species